rnacentral:lncRNA from 1 species
UGUUUGAUCUGUGUGUCGAGCUUUUUCAGACUUUCUGGAAGGUCGUAGACAGUGUUCCAACCUAUGGCUCGCAUUUCGAGAAUUGUGGUUUUAAGCUGGUACCAAAAGCCCAAAAAGAUUGGACCUUGGUCAGCUCUCGGGUAGCCUGCAGCAGAGCUUGUACCGGAACAAGAUUGGUCUUGUACCGGUACAAGGUUGAUGGUUGUACCGGUACAGCCAUCGGGUUUGUACCGGUACAGAGCCGCAGACCCCGCAACCCAAGCCUCCGGUUUGCAUUUUCGUGGGCCUUGUACCGGUACAAGGGCCCGUGUACCGGUACAAGGUGGCAGAUUUUGAGCAGUUUGAUACUGCAGGGGGUUUUUCGCGAUUGUAGCCUAUCUAUAUCAGCCCCCACGCCCUUGGGGACUCUCCCUGAGCUGAGAUCACAGGAGAAGAAGGUAAGGGCUUCUUCUCUUCUUCCCCCCUUGGAUUUUACUCCUUUUUGCUUGGAUUUAGGAAGCUUUUUGCUCUCUUUUACUUCCUAGAGCAUUUUCCACCUUCGGAGAGGGCUUGGGGCUUGGUUUUGAGCUUGGUAGAGGAACAAUCUUAGAAGUUGUGGACUUUUGAGCUUGGAUUGAAGCUUCUAAGUGGUAAGCAAGUUGUUCCCUCCCUCUAGAUUUUGGUUUUGAUGUUUUAUAGUAGAUGAAACCCUAGAUUGUGAUAUUAGGGUUUAUUUUGGGUAUUUUGAAUCUAGGGCUUUUGAAGCUAGAUUGAGUGGAUUAGAGGCUUCCAUUUGGUUGGAUUGGAAGGGCUCUAGCUCUCUUUUGGAGAUUUAGAGGAGAUUUUUGCACUAGAGGUGAGUUUCCCUCACCUAUGCUUGAAUUGCUUAAUGAUUAAGCUUAGUGUUGUUCAUAUGGUUCGUGUGACGCUUGUUCUCAUACCUUUAGGGUACUAGGACUGUGGUGGACACCCUCGUUGGAGCAAACGGAGAGUUUCGUUGCCAUCGGUGGGUUUGACUUCAUGAAAACGGGGCGAAAUGGCCCCUAUGCUUUCUAAACUCUUCGUAAAGUAUUUUUGAAUGCAUUUCUAUGUUAAUUGGAAUCUAUGUGAAUUUUAGAACACCUAAAAUGCAUGCCUCAUGUGUAAGUUAAAUUCCACUCUAUAUAGUAGAGUAAUUAGGGUUAUUUCCAUGCAUGUGAGGGGUGUUCAUGUGGACGAAUGGGAUUCUCGUCUAGUAUGCUAAUUUAGCUCAUAUUCGUGUAUUGGAAACGUUAUACUAUGUUUGGACUUAGUAGCACAAAGUGUCAUCAAGAGGCACUUGAAAACUAGUAAACUAUGAAAUUGCAACUUAGAAACAUAGUGUUGGGCCUUGUACCUCUGCUAUAUAUAUAUAUUCCAUGUUAGAGACAUGAUGACAUAGAAAUAGGCCUUUGGGACAUUCGAUACAUUCCAUGUUAUUAGACAUGAGGACUUGGUACUUGUGACUGGACAUAUGACUACUUGCCAUUGUGCUCAUUCGCACAUGCUUGUGAGGGUCGCUCUCUACAAGCCGGCACUCCGGAGAUAGCCAUCGCGAUUCAUAUUCGCCAUGCGGGAUUGGGCGCCGAAGUGGAUUGCCGUGGGCCAGGCUCAUCCCUAGGGUGGGGAUGAUGACUACCACGGGGCCAUCAGGCUCGGCAUCGGCCAGACAGCCUACGGGUGGGUCUUAGGGCCAUAGACAGCCUUCGGGUGGGUCUCUUCAGAUUUGANNNNNNNNNNNNNNNNNNNNNNNNNNNNNNNNNNNNNNNNNNNNNNNNNNNNNNNNNNNNNNNNNNNNNNNNNNNNNNNNNNNNNNNNNNNNNNNNNNNNNNNNNNNNNNNNNNNNNNNNNNNNNNNNNNNNNNNNNNNNNNNNNNNNNNNNNNNNNNNNNNNNNNNNNNNNNNNNNNNNNNNNNNNNNNNNNNNNNNNNNNNNNNNNNNNNNNNNNNNNNNNNNNNNNNNNNNNNNNNNNNNNNNNNNNNNNNNNNNNNNNNNNNNNNNNNNNNNNNNNNNNNNNNNNNNNNNNNNNNNNNNNNNNNNNNNNNNNNNNNNNNNNNNNNNNNNNNNNNNNNNNNNNNNNNNNNNNNNNNNNNNNNNNNNNNNNNNNNNNNNNNNNNNNNNNNNNNNNNNNNNNNNNNNNNNNNNNNNNNNNNNNNNNNNNNNNNNNNNNNNNNNNNNNNNNNNNNNNNNNNNNNNNNNNNNNNNNNNNNNNNNNNNNNNNNNNNNNNNNNNNNNNNNNNNNNNNNNNNNNNNNNNNNNNNNNNNNNNNNNNNNNNNNNNNNNNNNNNNNNNNNNNNNNNNNNNNNNNNNNNNNNNNNNNNNNNNNNNNNNNNNNNNNNNNNNNNNNNNNNNNNNNNNNNNNNNNNNNNNNNNNNNNNNNNNNNNNNNNNNNNNNNNNNNNNNNNNNNNNNNNNNNNNNNNNNNNNNNNNNNNNNNNNNNNNNNNNNNNNNNNNNNNNNNNNNNNNNNNNNNNNNNNNNNNNNNNNNNNNNNNNNNNNNNNNNNNNNNNNNNNNNNNNNNNNNNNNNNNNNNNNNNUUGAUGGUUGUACCGGUACAGCCAUCGGAGCUUGUACCGGUACAGAGCCGCAGAGCCCAGCAACCCGAGCCUCGGGUUUGGAUUUCGUGGACCUUGUACCGGUACAAGGGCCCGUGUACCGGUACAAGGCGGCAGAUUUUGAGCAGUUCGAAACUGCAAGGGCUUUUUCGCGAUUAUAGCCUCUCUAUAACAGCACCCUCGCCCCUUAGGGCUUUUCUUGUGCUGGAACCACAGGGAAACAAGGUGAGGAGCCCAUCCAUUCCCUUAUUUUGAUUUUCCUUGGUUAUAUUGGAGAUUUUUGAGGAUUAAUGCCUCAUUUUGCUUCUUUUUGCUUGAUUGGAGGCUUUUCCCACCAUUGGAGCUUGGGUUUAUGCUUGGUUGAGGGUUGAUCCUUGAUGUUUGAGGACUUUGAGCUUGGUUUGAAGCUUCCUGGAGGUAAGUGGCUAGAUCUUUUCCUCUAGAUUUGAAUUUUGGAGGUUUCUUUGAGAUGAAACCCUAGAUUUGAUAUUUAGGGCUCAUUUUGGGCAUUUUUGAUCUAGGGCUUUUGGACCUAAAUUAGUNUUUUAACACCUUCGGACUUUCCGAAGUGUACCGUCCUCGCACUUUGGUCAAUUUGACUAAAGUUCGAUAUUUAUUUUUCGAAUUUUCGGUAUAUUACACUCUGAGUCGAGAUGUAACAUAUUACUCCCCCGUGAGUUGUGCCGAGUUCCGUCGAAAUGAGCGGAACGCGAAAAGGAAUGAGUUACAAUAGGCUAAAAGUGCAUUGGAGCCUAUGCAUGAAGUGUAAAGGGACCCGAGAGAGUGAAACUGCAAUUCUGGAGAAAUCCCAGAAAUUUUACUCUCGGGGAUCGGUUCCUUGGAUGAGAGACCGAUUCCCGAACGUUGAUCAGCCGAGCAAAGGGGAAAAAUCGGCUAAGUCCUAGAAACUGAGCUCUCGGGAACCGGUCCUUCGGCGGGAGACCGGUCCCCGGAGACCGGUUUCAUCAGGGGGAGACCGGUCCCCUUCUGCGCAGGUUGCAGGGUAGCUCUCGGGAACCAGUCCCUGAAGGGGAGAGUCCGGUUCCCGAACCCGAAAAUGCCCAGUAAUGGCUGGUUGCAAAAAUGAAAUUGAGAGGGGUUUAAGUGCAAUUGUUACAUGAGAUGGUUGUAUAGAGGUGAGGGUUAGGGUUAGCUCUUAUUUUCCUCACACCUAAACACAAACCUUCCCUCUUUCUCUCUAAAAAUCCUUCUCAUCUCUCUCCCUCUCUCUCUAGGGCUUGGACCAAGAGGGGUUUUGGAGGAGAAAAGCUUGGAGAAGAAGCUCUCCAAGGUGAAAAGCAAGCUUGAUCAAGACUUUGAAGGAAAGUUUUGGACCCCCAAGGUGAGUUCUCAUUGAUUUUGAGUUAGGUUUUGGGUUUUGCUUCUAGUUGAAGCAUUUAGAGAUGUCUAUGGCGGUUUUUCUCCAUUUCUCGUCAAGCUAGGUUUUUCUCCAUUUCUCGUCAAGCUAGGGGCUUGAUUGGAGAAGAUGACAUCGUGAAGGACCUAUAUUUAGGGUUUUAUGAUUUUGAGGAUCAAACUUAGAUUUGAUCUCAUUUUAACCUAAUUGGUAGGUCUACGAACAUAUCGGUGCGCUCGGUUCGGCGAUACGACGAGCAUGCGCGAAGAUAUUAAGAAAACAAGCUGAGUUAGUACAGAUCGUCGUAGCUCACAGCGAACAAGCCCAAAAAUCGUGGAAUCGGAACCGUGGCAUCCUUGUGACACACAAAGGUGGGGCGUGCUAUCCGAAAACACCGGAUCUCUUUCUAUGUCUAUGUCCUUUCAUUUAAGCAUAUUGGUAUUAUAGCAUUCUUGCAUGUAGGGUAAUGAACAGCAUGUGUUGGUUGUAACAAUUAUCUGCUUGAGAUCAUUGUAGUGAUAUUGAACUGUGUAGGAAAGGAAAGUGAAAGGCCCUAUAUGCAUGUGAAUGUAAGAAAUGACCGUGACCGUAGUAAACAAAGGCAACAUGGACAUUAGUGACUCGAUUGACAUCGAUAAGUGAAUAGUUAAACAAGGUUUAACCGAAGUGACAUUAUGUGAUUUGUGGCAUCAGGACUACCAUGACAAUGGCAUGUGACAUUAUAUGCAUGAAUAGGUAUUAACCGUUCAUCGGCAUUGAGAUAGUGGGAAUUGUGACAGGUUGGCCAUACCUCCUCAAAAUUGAGGAUGGGAUCAUACUCACAGGUAUUGGUUCCAGCUUGUGUGAGGUCGCUCCUCCACGAGCGGUGUACUCCGGAGAAGAAAAGCAUCACGGGUGGACGUGCCCGGCGAAGAUCCUUCGGGUGGUUGUGCCUUGUGCCUCCCCCGUUAGAUGGAUAUGUGGACUGUGAGUUGGGGUAAACCAGGAGCACCCCAGGUUGAAUUGGGUAAAGGCCAAAGAAAAGUGAAAGAGAACAUGCAUGCAUCGUUUUCAUGUACUUGGUUAUGAAUAUCUAUCUGUGGAUUGCUUUCUUGCAAGCAUUGUAUUAGAAGUGCAUUAGUUCAUUUGUUACUCUUCUUUAUUGAAAUACAUAUGCCUGAAUUAGACCUAGUGGGCAAAUCAGCGUGGUCGGCGGCCGAAUCCACUGGGAACUUCUUCUAGUUCUCAUUACCACUAACCCUGCAGAUCCAUACGCGAGCGGGGCGGCGGAGGAUCGAGGCAAGGGAGUUGCGCCGUAGAUAGCGGCCGCGGAGUUGUAUAGGCACACCCUACACUCGGUGUAUUCAACUUUUGUAUGUUGAAACAGUAAAGUAAAAGUGAUGUAAUGUAAAUUAUGUUUUUGGGUAAUGCAAGAAUAAUGUAAUGAAUGUAAAUGUAUUUGAGUACUUGUGUUUGAUUCAAAUGUAAUCAAAUGACAAGUAUAAUGGAUGUGUAGUUAGUUUCGAUGCUUUCACUAUGGUUGUUGUUUGCCCUCGUGCAAACCUUGUAUAUCUCGCAAUUCUCCUUGAUGAUUUUUUUGUAUUAUACAUGUUGAUGGAGCUUUGGGCGGACAGGGGAGGUGCUGUCCGUUCGGCGUCUGUCGCGUGCUCGAAUCCGACCAAAUUGGCGGAGCUCGGGGCGUGACACGAGAACUCAUACCACUUGAAUCCAUUUCUAGUCACUACUAGAAGCACACUUCAAUCCUGACCCAAUCGAUCAACUCCCGCCACCGUCAUAGGUUCACGUCUCACUUACACACUUAUAGCCUUAAAGUUUCCAUCCUAGGGUCUCCUAGGUCACUCCUAGACUUCUCUCUUUACUUGCUCUUACUGCUCUGAUACCAUAAACACCUAUCACGCCCCGAGACCGCUACCCAUUUAGUCCGGAUCCGAAGGUAGCGGAGGUCUCAACCUCCUCAAAGUUCGCUGCAUUGACCGCUCCAACAGACUUAGAGCGUGUCGUCGGCAUUAUCACUACAACAUCAUAAAAGCGAAAGUUAGUAAAACCCACGCAAUCACAACCUCGCUCAACAAUAAAUACCUAAAUCAUGCGAAAGUAAGGAAGUGUUCUCUACUACUAACUCCCGAUGUUAUGUUGUCGGCCGCCAACGUAACCCUCCGUGAAGUUAGAAGCCAUACACUUCGAUUUAACUCUACUUUCUAGAGUUAUCAAAGACACCCAAUCAUGAUACUUUCGCUUACAAGUCGAAUAGACCACGUCUCUCAUGAGCCUAUUUCCUAUAGUCCAACCGGUCUAAGGUUUGCUAGGUCCACUAAGACUCAAUGUCACGCCCCGGGACCGACGCCAAUUUGGCCCGACCCGAGUACGUCAAACAGACGCCGAACGGACAGAGUUUCCCCUAUCCGCCCAAGGCUCAUCACAUGUACAAUUUCAAUAAGAAGUGCACUAGCGGAAACAUACACAAACGGCUUACACGAACGUAGGCCCAACCUCAUCUGGGCAUUCCUGCCAGGAUCGACCACUCAUGGACGCUACUACCUGAAUUGCACUCCGUUCAAUUACACCGCUUUGGGGGCCCAAUCGGAAUUACUAAUUUCUCGUUUCUUGUUUCUUAUUUCUUGUUUCUCAUUUCACUUUUCUUGAUUUCUUGUACGUAUUAGACGUAGAUAAUUACAACUCGUAUAAGGAACGAAAACAAGUCCGUAUAAUCGUAGUACAAUAUCUAACCAAUGGUAUAAAGUCGAAUAGGAAAGAUAAUACGGACUCAAUCAGGAUCACCCUUUCAGCCACUACAACUCCGGCUUGGGUGACCCUUGAAACAACAUCAAGAGUGGGGUGAUAAAGGUGUCUCGGCCCUGGCUCGCUCGGCCGCUCGCUGGCGCCAUUUCCAUAGCGCGGAAUCAGUCUCCGGUGGUUACAACCCAAUGUAAAACAUCAUUUCAUGGAAUACUAGUAGAAAACAUAAACUACUAAUCACUACAUUUCGAAUAAAACUCCAUUUACACAACAUUCUUUCUUUACUACUUUAAUACAUUCUUGUCGUUUCUUAGAAUUUACAUUCUUUACCUACGUUACAUAUACUAGAUUUUACUUAGUAUAAUGAACACUUACAAAUCAAAGGAAAAAGAAAGUGACUACCGAUAACGAAUGGGNNNNNNNNNNNNNNNNNNNNNNNNNUUGAGACAUGUAGUAUACUUGAUAGUCUCCUUUUGCAUUAAAGCAUACUUGGUUGCCAUGACAGAACUUAUGCGUAAUGUAUUCAUCAAGGUUAAUGUCAUACUAUUUUGAUAUCGUAGAUGUACAUCACCAUGACAUCGUGUAUACUUGAGUUUAAUAAUUUAGCAUUUUAAUUAUGCUUUCAUAUCGCAGUCAUUAUUGCUAUUAUUAUUGUACUUACCCCUUUCUUUUGGGGCCUAGUGGUGCAUUGAGCUGAGGUCAGUAAUUGCCCACUGGGAACUAUAAAUUAUAGUUCUCACGCCCUCUUUUUCUCGAAGUUUUUCAGAGCCUUCCACGCAGGGUGAGGCCAGGGAUCGCGGGAAGGGAGUUGCUUCGAGCUAGCUUUCUUUGAGGACGAGUUGCUAGGUGGUCUACCUCUCGAUUUUUAUUUCUUUUUACGAGAGGUUGAGAGUUUUAUCAGUGUACUAGAGACCACCACUUUUGUACUUUUGAGACAGAUCUUGUACUACUUAUGACUCCUUUUAUUGUCUAGCUUUACUUCUUUACUUUGGUGUAGGUGUUAGAACUAUACUCGCUCUGAUAUCAUUAGUUGCUAGUUAUUUCACUUCUUCUAUUUGUUCUACUACUUGCUUUUACUUCCGCAUUUAUUGUAGACGCCUUAUAUGUGUAGACAUAUGGCGGGUCUGGGCACGCUACCGGGAGGGCCUCCGCCGGUCCUGGGGCGUGACAUGUCUACACAAGCAUAUUAGUUAUUGUGCAAGAACUUUGAUAUCUUUAUUCUCUACUCUAUAGAGAUAUGACAAGGCCACCUAAUGAAAGUACAACGAAUGCAUCGAACAAUUCCUUCAUAAUGCCACUAGCAUAUGAAUACUAACUUUAAUUCUUUGAAUAUACAUGUAUGCUAACAUUAACUAUGCAUGUUGCAUGAUUCAUUUAUGUCCACUUCUCUACUUCCUAGAGAUUUAGCUUAAUCACAUGAUGUAGAUACUCUAAAUACAUAUAAAACCAUACACAUAUCAUACUAUGAGCAUACUACACAUAGUUUUACAAUUCUAUGGCAAUAUUAAGAACAUAGAGGGAAUUCACCCAUUCCGGUGAGGUCAAACCCACCAAUUAGUCGACGUCUCUUGUCAAUUCCACGAGCGAAGACAAUCCGUAGUCUCCAAACACCCUGACAAUCAAUCCAAAAUAAGCUAAGAGCUGAACUUGUAUCUCUACACUAAAACUCACAUAACCACUCAAUUUAGGCAAGAUUCUCACCUAGGUUUAGACUAAAGCUAAACCUCCACUCCAACUUAGGUUGGAGCACCCCAAACCAGCUCACAAUAGCCACUAGAAUCAGCUCAAAGUGGUUAGUAAACCUGCUAUGAACAGACCCCAAAAACUGCAUCAUUACUUUCAUCUAUACACCUAGUAUAGCAUCAAAACAAGGAAAGUAGUUGGCUAAUCACCUUUCAACCUUCACUUCAGCUUCUUCUCUGGUUCAGGGUAGCUGAAACUCAGCAAAACACCUCUUCUAUACUACUACUAUGCACCUUCCAAAACCGACUGCGACAAAAAGCAAGGAACCAACAUCAACUUCACUUCUAUGGCAUCAACUAAAAAGAAGUUGAAUAGUUUAUCUUACCAAUCUUUAACUCAGCUUCCUAUUGAGUUAGGGUUGCGAAAAACCACUCCCAAGACUACUUUUCCUCUCCUACAGCUGCCCCAAGCCCUCCAAUUCAGCUAGUAAAAAAAAGAGGGAGAGAAAUAGGUUCAAAUCACUUGUUUCCUACUCUAGGUGAGAGAAAACCUUACGAGAGAGAAAGAGAAGGGUUUAAACCUGAUCCUCUAAGCUCCAGCACCUUCUAACUAGCUGCAGGGGUCGUGCUAGACUUUUAGGGAAAAGCUUUGGAAGUGAAAAGACUAAAUUAGCCUUGCUGCCACGCAGCUACUGCUGCUGGGUACCGGUACCCCAUCACACUGGUACCGGUACUCAAUGUAGAGUGCAAAAAUUGCAGUUUGCAAUGCACUUUUGCACUUCCGGCUCUUUGAUCACUCCACUAACUUGCCGAAAUCUCACGACAACCCUUCAAAAGAUGUAAAGUAGUUCCAAAUGUCAUUCCCACACUCGAAUUUCACAAUUUGCCAAUGUUCAGUGUACUACACGCGCGCACGGCACGGGCUGGGUCGGUUGGGCGGCGGUGCAUGCAGUCCAGGCUACCUAGUUCACUUAGUCUUUUUCUUUUAUUUAUUUUUUGGGAAUUUGAUAUUUAAGCUUAUAAAUGAUUGCACAUUGGUAAGCUAGGGCCCAAAUUUUACCUUACCUUGGUAAGGGCAUAGAUCUUACCCUAUCUCGGUAAGAUCCUUAUCCUGCACCUUGGUAAGGGCCAACGGCUUACCCAGGAAAAAGCCAUUGGACCAUACCAUUAUCUCCUAUCUGCAUAUAGAAGAGAGGAGAGUUGCACAGGGAACACAUGAGAUUUUACUUGAAAUUUCUUAAAAGGCUUCUCCUUCCUCUGAUUAUUUUGCACUAAAUUUUACAUUCUUUCUUCUCUUUUGCUGGAUCUCUGAGCUUGCUAGGUUCGUAUUGCACCACCCUAAAGCCGUGCCGACGGGGUGGACGGUAGACGUUGUAUCGUUAGGAGUGAUUACCGGAACCUCAUACGUAGAGUGGUAAUCUCGCUUCUAGGACAAUGCUCUGUAUGCCUUCACCCACAGGGCUCAUCUGAACUUUUCUUCUCUAUAAUAUUUUCUAGUUAAUCUUUGCUUAUGAUUUUCCAAAACUAAAGUUAAAUUGCUUUCUCUUAAAUUUAUUUAAAAGAAAACUUUACUAAAGAUUUAGAAAGGAAUUUUCCAACAAAAUCAAUGAAGCUCAGCUGUCACACUUGAUUCAUUGUUCUCAUUCGCUAAAAACUACAGGUGGUUUUAAUUUAUUGAAACUUUAUGACUUAUUUCCACCUUACAAUUUUUCUAGCCAUUAUUCUCUUUUCUUCGUGCAGAUUGCUAUAUGACCUGGCUUAUAUUAAUUAACUUGCUUAGGCAACAACAAUAUAUAUAAUUAAGCACCUCGCUUUCUGGUGCGAAGAACGCGCAUUGGUCAGAACACAACAUCAUUUUACCAAAUAAUUACUGAUCUUAGAAGUAUUUAUUGAUCCUGAUUUGGUCCCAAAGCACUUAGAACUCAAUGUGUAGUGCUUUAACUGAAUGCGUGACAACUUAUUGCGCAUAUAUUUAAUAGGAAGUUAAAUAGUGUCUUUGUGAUUUCAUCUGUAUCACGCGCGCGUGACUCAUCCAAAAUUACAAGUAGCUAGCAUGGUAAUCACAAUUUUUAAGCCAUCUUCUUGUUGGCCGAGCAAUUAAGAUGGAGGCAUGCUCGUGACAUCAUACGCCAACGCUACCUCCAAAUUAUUAGUAGGGGGGAAAGGAAAAUCAUAAAAUGCACCGCGGUCCCCCCCUCCUCUCCCUUUGCUUAUAUACCCCACCACCAAAUUGAAAAUUAAAGGAAACCUUCAACACCUCCACGACGUGCGUGUUGCUUCCUAAUUGCUAGUCAAUCCAAUAACGCCACCUAAUUUAAUCAAAAAGGUAUAUACAAAUACAAACAACAAACAAAUGCGAAUGAAAUAAUUACUAAAUGCGAAAUGCAGCAGGUCACGUGCGUAUCAUUUUAUUGCGAAUGAUCGAGCGAGAGCGUGGAGAUAAUAAUAUCGGAUACUUGGAUUUCCUAUAAAGAUGAUCUAGAAGCACAAACACUUCUCAAAAAAUUAAUUGUCAGCCCCCGUUGUGUAUUUAUGUUGCGUUCUUAGUGACCAAAGUUAACAAAAGGUGAAAAGGUAAGGACCAAAUGUAUGAUUAAAAUUUUAAUUCUAAUUUUAGACUAAAAUUCUAAAGUUAAAAUUUAAAUUUGAAUUAAAGCUGUAAUUUAAUUUAAAAAUAAAUUAGAAAUUUGAACUGGAACUCAAAUUUUGAAUUUGACUUUGAAAUUAAAUUAAAAUUUUGAUUUCAUGUUUUGCAAUUUAACUUUGACAUUCAAAACCAAUCAUUUCAUUUUUUUUUUUCACUUAGGUGUCUAAUGCUGACAUGACAUCCUCCGUCGAUUUUAAAUAUCUUUUUAACAGUUAGGACCUAAUUACAAUAAAAUGUAGAGUUUAGAGACUUGAUUGUUAAAAAAAAAGAAAAGAAAAAAAAGAGCAGACUGAAAAAAAGAAACUUAAAAUAAUAAUAAUAAUAGAAACUUUAAAAGAAGAGGAAAGGAAAAAAAAAAAAAAGGAACAAUAAACAUUACUACUUGGGAAUUGGAAUUGGCAAUGGAUUAUAAUUUGCCUGUUUUCAACUUUAAAGGAUGGCAGAUUGCGCGCGUGCGCAGUCUGGUUGCGGUCCCAUACACGUAUUUCCAACACACACAAAGAUAUAACAUGUAGAUAAAAGUAUAAGCACGCCUUUUUCUAUGCGUAUUCGUAUUGGGUCUUUAGAAAAAACAAAAACGAAAAGCCUAAGCCUACGUACACCACCAAUUACGAAGUGCAUCAGUCUUCGAAGUUUUUUUAUAAAUAGUUUUCAUGAAACUUUUAUUUCUAAAAAUAGACCUCCUUAAAAUUUUUUGCAAAAAUAGUUUCCAAAUAGGCCAGGUCAGCUCGGGGCAGGUGAUUCAGACAUAUGCGGUGAAUAGUUUACCGCGUUCACAUAUGCGGUGAACCAUUCACCGCAUUUGUGGGCCUAGUCAAUGGCCUCCGUAAAAAUAAGAAUGCGGUAAAUGGUUUACCGCAUUCCUAAAGCGGUUAACCAUUUACCGCAUUUAAAAGCGGUGAAUAGUUCACCGCUUUUAAACGCGGUAAUUUGUUUACCGCAUUUAUAUGCGGUGAACAAUUCACCGUCUUUUAAUCGAUAUACCCUACACCCCGCCCGAACCCCUUUCCUUUCUCUCUCACUCACCUACGCGCGAGCUCCUGUGUCUCCCGAGCUUCUCCUCUCUGUCUCCCGCACGCUCCCUCACUCCUCUCUAUCUCACUCACUCCGACCCGAGUCCGACGCCGUCGUCGCUGCCGCCGUCGCCGGCGCCGACUGUACUGCUUCUGCCAUGCCUUCUAUCCUCAGCAUUGUAAGGACAUUGUUCCAUUAGGUUGGUGGUGAGAGGUUUGAAAAAAAUGUAAUUGUUUUUGAAAUAGAGUUAAUUGUUUGUAAAUUAUUGUGUUAUUUUACUGUAUUUUGUCUAUAUUUUGUGGUAUGUAUACUUUUAGAUCACAUUUUAAACCCUAUUAGGUUAGUGGUAGAGCCCAACACCGAGAUGUGAGAUGUAAUAAUGUGGUAGUUGGUUUCUUUUGUGAAGGAUAGUAUUUUUCGGUCAUUUAAAUUGCAUUCAUACUAUGCCUCUAUAAAACUUAGGUAUCAAAAUCUCAUACUUGUAAUAGAGGAAAUGUUACUUUAAGGGGAUAUUUGAUCGCUUUAUCUAAGAUUCCUAGGUAUUGAAUGUUUCAUACCGGUGACGAUGCAUUAUUGAUUUAAUUCAAACUCUCAUAUGUAGAUCGAAACCAACAAAUGAUGCUCCAUAAGUUAUUACUGUUUUUCGGGAAGUGAAGUGCUUUGGGUAAGUUUAGUAGCUUAUUUUUAAGUACAUGAUCUCUUGUUUCGAAGUUUUGAAUUUUGUAGUGAACACAUGUCAUUUGCAGUAUCAAUUCAGCACUUUAAUUUGAUAUGAUUAUGUUUGUUUACAAAUUUUAUAUUUUGUUUAAGUUAGGAUGGCGCGUAGUAAUGUGGCUAUAGUUGUUCAUUGGAAUGGAGAAAUAUUGGCACACGAUAACAAUCCAAAGUACGUUGGCAGUCGUAAGAAAUUAAGUGGUAUUCCAGUGGAUAUUACAUUUACAGAAUUCGAGAGAAAAAUAUAUAGAUUAACCGAUACUCCGAGAGAUGAGUAUCGUCUAAUUAUCAAAGUCCGAUAUUCGACCGGGAUGAAUCAAUUCGAUGUGGUUGAAGUUACGGACGAUGACUCACUGUGUGGUGUGAUGGCAUUGUCGGGAAACCCUCCGUGUUUUAUAAUGUUCGUUGAAAAACAAAUAAUUUUAUCUCAGGGGUAUUAUUCUAAAAUGUUAAAUAGUGACUUUAAUGUGGAUGCCCCGAAAGAGAAUUUUUUCGUACUGAUAUCGAAGGAGGAGCAAAUGCACCUACAUUAGUAUUGCAAAAUAUGAAUUUUGUAUAAAUAUUUUAACAUAACAAAUGUUUAUAUUGCCUUCUCCCAUCAAUUGUAGGGAGUACGAAUUUCCAAAUAUAGUUGUUGGUGAUCCUCCUCCCCUUCCACGUACUAUUUAUCAUGCCAUGGCUUCUACUUCUCAUGCCCCACUGGGUAGAGAGCAAGGCGUCUUAUGUGAAGAAGGGUUAGAAUACGCUAGUUUGUAAUUUAAUCAUUCACUGUUUUAUUUAGUUAGAAAGUGCUUAAUUACGAAGUAAUUGCAGAUUUCAUACCUCUCAUGAUGUGCAUGACUUUGGAUCGUAUCCAUUGGGAACCGAAAAUGACGGUAUAGGAAAUCGGGAGGAAGUGCAACAAGAAGUAGCUGAAGACGGUUAACGUUGGUGCCUUCGCCGGCCAUAUGAAGGAGAUUGUUGCGGAGGAGUUUCUGAGAAGCGAGGGACAUGCUCACCGUUGGUGCCUCCGCCAUAUGAAGGCUAAUGUGAAAAAAGCUGGUUUCAAAAAUGAAAAUGUGCUCAAUAAAUUUUAUACGGGCAUAGGAUGUGCUGCAACAGCAAAGGAAUAUUAUGAGUAUAAGGAUGAGUUGAAAGAAAUGAAUCCGGCGGCAUGGCUUUGGGUGCACGAGCUCCAAGGGGAAAGGGAAUAUUGGGCGAGAGCAUUUGAUGGAGGACGGCAUUUUGGGACAAUGACGACAAAUCGGUCGGAGAGUUUAAAUGGAGUGUUUAAGGGUGUACGUGGUUUACCUAUCACAGCAUUUGUGGCCACUACAUUUUAUAAGGUGAACAAUUAUUUUGUUAAGCGCCGUGAUAAAGGUGAGACAUACACUACAGUAUUGGCACCAAACAAGAGGUGUUAAUUAGGAGUUAUAUGAUAAUCGCAAGAGGACAACGUGUGGAUCGUUACGGAGUAAACGAGUUUCAAAUUACUACCGGAAAUGGACAAUUUGAGGUGGUUCUUGACGGGAGAAGCUCGACUUGUUCAUGCCAUGAGUUUGAGCUCACUAGGUUGCCAUGCUCACAUCUUCUAGCUGUAUGCAGUAAUGGUGUCACGCCCCGGGGCUCAGCGGAAGCCUAUCCGGCGCGUGUCCAGACCCGCCAUACGUCUAAAACAUAUAAGGCGUCUACAAAAUUUCGAUAGAUAAAACGAUAAUACAAGAGAUCUAGUGAUAUCAGAGCAUUGUAUAACUAGUUCUAUAACAAGGAAAGGACAUAAAGCUGAAAGUCCACUAAAUAAAAACAUAAAGUAAGUACAAUAGGGAUCCCAUAACAAGUGCUAAAAGGAGUACAAGGUGGUCUCUCUAUACAUGGUACAAGACCUCUCCCUCUCAAAAUAUAAAAUGGAGGAGUAACCACCUAGCGCAAAAGAACUCUCCGCGAGCUAGCUACGCGACACCCUUGCCGCGAUCCCGUGCCUCCGCCGGUGCCGAAGGCUCUGAAAAGGAAACAUAGAAACAGGGGCGUGAGAACUAUUAAAUAAUAGUUCCCAGUGGGCAAUUACUGACUUCAGUGAAAUGCACCACUAGGCCCGAAACUAUAAAAGAGGGUCAGUGUACAACUAUAACAAAAGCGAUAAAUGCACUGUAAGUAAAUAAAUAAACGAGUACCCAAUAAUCAUGAUAUCUCUACUUAGCAUGAUUUACAUAAGUAAGAAAGCAACUACUAGCUAUAUGCACAUGAACACCCAACAUAUAAAGCAUGAUUAUGCAACUACCCAAAGUCCACAAUGUAAUAGUAAAGAUGUCAUUGUUUACUAUUCUAGUCCAAGUCCACUUUAACAGUUAUAAAGUUCACAUAGCAUGUUCUGUCACCAAGUCCCAAUCAUAUAAGACCCACCCGAAGGCUGUCUGGCCUGCGCCGUGCCUAAUGGCCCCGUGGUAGUCAACAUCCCCACUCUAGGGAUGAGCCUCCCCCACGGCAAUCCACUUCGGCGCCCAAUCCCGCACGGGCGAGCAUAUGUCGCGAUGGCUAUCUCCGGAGUGCCGGCUUGUAGGGAGCGACCCUCACAAGCAUGUGCGAAUGAGCACAAUGGCAAGCAAGCAAUGAUCUGUCUCAAGUACCAAGUCCUCAUGUCUAACAACAUGGAAUAUAUCAAGUAUCUCAAUGGCCUAUCUCUAUGUCAUCAUGUCUCUAACAUGGAAUAUAGCAGAUACGUAGUGGCCUAUCAAUAUGUCUCUAUGUUGCAGUUUAAUAGUUUACUAGUUUCAAGUGCCCCUUGAUGACACUCUUGUUCUUCUAUGUCAAAGCAUGGCAACUAUGUUUCAAAGUACAUGUUCCAAGUCAUGAUCCUCAUAAGAGAUGUACUUUCCACUUGCAAAAUGAACACUUUUCCCGUAUGCAUGCGUUCUACUCAUAUAGCUCUACUAUAUAGUGAAAUUUUUAUAAUACACAAGGCAUGCAUUUUAAGUGCUCUAAAAUUCAUAUAAAUUCCAUUUAGCAUAGAAAUGAAUUUAAAAAUAUUUUACAACAAGUAGAAAGAGCAUAGGGGCCAUUUCGCCCCAUUUCCACGAAGCCAAACCCACCGAUGACAACGAAACUCCUCGUUCGCUCCCACGAGGGUGUCCUCUAGUCUCCUAGUACCCUAGAGGUAUAGAAACAUGUGUCAUACGAGCCAAACGAACAAUACCUAGCUCAAUCAUUAAGCUAAUCAAGCAUAGGUGAGGAAAACUCACCUCUAGUGCAAAAAUCUCCUCUAAAGCUCCAAAAUAAAGCUAGGGCUCAUCCAAUCCAACCUAAUGGAAGCCUCUAAUCCACUCAAUCUAGCUUCAAAAGCCCUAGAUUCAAAAUGCCCAAUUUAAGCCCUAAAGCCUCAUUCUAGGGUUUCAUUACAAAGAGGCCAAUAAAAGUCUAAUUUAGAGGAAGAGGAUGAGCUACUAACCUUUAAGAAGCUUCAAACAAGGAUCAAAAUCCUCCAAGAGUGGAGAUCUCCCUCACCCCAAGCUCCAAGAUCAAGCUCUAAUGGUGGAAAAGCUUCCAACAAGCAAAAGAAGCAAAAAGGAGGGUUUAAUCCACCAAAAUCCAAGCUAAAAAGGGAUGAAAUCCAAAGAGAUGGUGAGGAGGGGUGCCCUACCUUCUCCUCCCUGUGAUCUGAGCUCAAGAGGUGCCCUGAGGGGCGUGGGUGCUAAAUAGAUUAGACACAAAUGCGAAAAAACCCCUGCAGUUCGGACUGCACGAAAACUGCCUCCUUGUACCGGUACACGGGCUCUUGUACCGGUACGAGGCCCACGAAAAUGCAAACCCGAGGCUCGGGUUGCGGGGUCUGCGGCUCUGUACCGGUACAAGCCCGAUGGCUGUACCGGUACAACCAUCAAUCUUGUACCGGUACAAGACCAGUCUUGUUCCGGUACAAGCUCUGCUGCAGGCUACCCGAGAGCUGUCCAAAAAUUCCGAUUUUGGGAUUUUGGUGCCAAGCCUCACUCCAACAUCCUCGGGAUGCGUGCCAGGGGUCGGAACACUAUCAACGACCCUCCAAAAACUGUGGAAAAGCUCCAAACACAGAUCAAACACUCGAAUCUUGCGAUUUGCAAGAUCCAGUGCAUUACAAAUGGUCAAAUGAACAUUGACUACUAUAGUCUGUGUUCUGAAUGGUUGACAUGUAAGAAUUAUUGUCGUACUUACUUCCCGCAAUUUCACCCUGUCCCAGACAAAAGAAGUUGGCCACGCCCUCAAGGACCACCGUUGGCACCACCACCAAUCAGGAGAAAGAAAGGACGUCCGAGAUCAACUCGUAUUGGAAAUGCCAUGGACGAGAAAGAAGGAAUGCAAAGAACUAUGUGCACUAUUUGUAAACAACAAGGACAUUAUAGGACUACAUGUCCAAAUAAUCAAAAUAGAACAAAUGAAGGCCGUAGAUGUAGAGCUUUAGGUUGAUGACUUAUGUUUGACUAUCUACAGUAUUUUUAUUUCUAGAUUUAUCUUUUAGCGUUCAAUUAAUAGUCACUAAUUUGUAUAUUUUAUUUUGCAGAUAGACGAUCACGAGAAUCCCGGGCCAGUUGAUGUCACGCCCCGGGACCGAUGCCAAUUUGGCCCGACCCGAGCCCGUCAAACAGACGCCGAACGGACAGAGUUUCCCCUAUCCGCCCAAGGCUCAUCACAUGUACAUUUUCAACAAUAGAGAAAAGCACUAGCGGAAACAUACACAAACGGCUUACACGAGGGUAAGCAAUUGCCAUUAGUGAAAGAAAAAGGAAACUAAACAUUCACAAGUAAUAUGAUUCAUUUUAGAUCAUAUACAUUGCAUUCAUCUAGUAAUUUAUCAAAUUCUUGCAUUCAUUACAUCAUUUCAUCAUUUCUUUCUUACAUCACUCUUACCUCAAAAUAAGCUUUACAUUCUUUCUUUACAUCACUAAAUCAUCAAAUACAAAAGAUGAUAAAAGGGUGUCUACUAACAAAAUGUAACCCAACACAUGGUGCUUCUGACUAAGGCGCGAUACCUUUACCUCGUCGCUCGCCGCGUCGAUGGUCCCGGCUCUGUGGAAAUAGUGGGUGAGAACUACAACAAAGUUCCCAGUGGGUUCGGCCCCAACAUCACCCGACUUUCCCACUAGGACUAACUCAGGCAUAAUAGAAAGGAUAAGUAAGAUUUAGUAACCAAUCUAUAACAUGAUGCUAAUAUGCCUGAACAAAUAGCAAGAAAUAUGCUCAACAUUAAAUAUAUGCAGAUUAUGCAAAUUCUUUCUUCUUUAUCUUACAUUUGUUCUUUGUCUUUAUUCUUUUACUCUUUGUUCUUUAUUCUUUGUUCUUUAAUCAUUAAGGCUAACCCAGGGGUUUCGCCACAUUAACUUGUUUCACAUUAAGUCCAUCAUCGCAGGAUCACCAGCUAGGACAUCCUUACGGGUCUACUCCAACCCGGAUGCAUAAACUCCGGAGCGCAUCGCCCGAGGGGGAGCGACCACCCUCGAGCACGAACUCAUAGCAAUAUGAUCAUAUCCUUAACUCAAAGAUUUAUAAGUUCAAUCUUGACUUUACACUAGCUCUAGUGUUCAUUACAUCACUUUAUAUUGCAAACUCAUGCAAUCGUUGUUCUUUACUUUUCUUUUACCUUUGCCACUUUUAGCAUUCUUAUUCUUUACAUUCUCGUUCUUAUUGCCCCACUUUACUUUAACUUUACACAUUGUCAUUUUCAUCAUUCUUUACAUCACUUUGUUCUUUGGCUCACACUAACUCUAGUGUGCACUUUACUUUACGUUUUCAAAAUGCCACUCGAUCUAUGUCAUUGUACCACUCUGUUCUUUUGCUCACUUUGGGUGCUCACAUUUCCUCUCAUGCAUACAUCUAGGGUUUCGACAUUAUUAGGUUCUCAACUAUCUCAUUAUGCAAGUUGUACUCACAAUCAUGCAAUCAUCACAUUUCAUCAUUACUUUACCCUAAAAUGCAUGCAACAAUAUAUAGAACAUAUGCUCAAAUGAAUGACACAUUAGGCAUAGAAGGAAGUUCAAUGAGUUUGGAAAGCACCACCCACCUUGUAGGUCUCUUUAGGUGCUCCGACGAUUUUCUCGGGAUUUCUAGACGUUUCGUUCUUUACCUGCGGCAAAACGAACCCUUAUUAGGCCAUUUUGCCCAUAACUUUACAUACACUUUUCGAAAUGCUAUUCCGAGCGCACCAACGCGUCGGGAAUACCCCCAAUUAGGUUUUUAGAGGGUCAAUUGCACUUAGAAACCUUCAUGAGCAAAAGCCCCAAUUUGGGUGCCCUAGCUCCAACGUAUAUCAAAACCUAGGGUUUGAUCUCAUUGGGAAGCAAAAGUAGCUUCAUUAUACUCUAAAUAGUCCAUUAGAACCAUCCCUAGCUCACUCCAAACCCUAGUUUGGAUUUCACCAUGAGAGGGGUCAAGCUCUUCUUCAAGCUUUACCUCCAACAACCAACCCAUAGUCUUGAUCUCAAAAGAAGCAAAAGAAAGCUUCAAAAACUCUAAAUACUCCAUUAAAACCAUUUCUAGGUUCAUUCAAAACUCAUUCUAGGGUUUUACUACAUUAGGGUUAAAAGCUUACCUUGUAAGCUCCCUUUUCUUGCACUAGAGAGGAAGAAGAUGAAGCCUACUUGCUCCAAAAGCUUCUUCUUCACCUUCCUUUCCUUCUUUUCCUUCCUUUCUUUCCUUCUUCUUCUUUUCCUUCUUUGUCUUCUAGAGAGAGAAAGAGAGGAGAGGGUGUGAGAGGGAGUGGAAUGAGAGGAAAAGCCCCUCAGCCCACUAACAUAACCAUUGGGUUGCAAAAAUGCUAAUAAACCCCUCAACUUUCAUCUAUUUCAACUGCCUGGUCUGGGCAGAUUUCGGGCUCGGGAACCGGUCUCCCCGACUAGGGACCGGUCUCCGAGAGCUCUCCCAGCGCAGCCAGAGCUGCUGCGCGCGAUGCAUCCGGUCUCUCCUAGGGGGACCGGUCUCUCGGGGACCGGUCUCUCGGACAGGGACCGGUUCCCGAGAGCUACUUUCUCAGGACUUAGCCGAUUUUUCGGCUGUCUCACUUCAUACGCGUUCGGGGACCGGUCUCUCCCACCAGGGACCGGUCCCCGAGAGCUCAAAAUCUGCAGUUUUGCAGAAUUUGAUUCUUUAGCUCUCGAAAACCUUCCACAACUCACUUUUGAUCAUUUUAACACCUUCGGACUUUCCGACGUGUUCCAUCCUCGCACUUUGGUCAAUUUGACUAAAGUUCGACAUUUUAUUUUCCGAAUUUUCGGUAUAUUACAGUUGAUCUAUCAGUUCUAUCAGGCCAAGAUAGGCAUCGGUCGAGCUAUGUGCGAUCAGAGGUAUGUUUAGUUAUGCAUUUACAAAAAAGUUUGUAAUUUAAAUACUUAAAAGGGGAAUUUACUAAAAAGUGAAUAAACUUUACAGGGGUACGCGCCAGUUCAGUUUACGAAGCAUGGCCGUAAACUGAACACAUAGACAGUCGAGCAUUCGGGAGUGAUAGAGCACUUACGACAUGCUAGCUUUUUCUACAUCUCCCGCCUCAGACGAGUACAGCUAGAUCAGGCUCUGUUAGGGGCGUUGAUAGAGCGAUGCAGGCGCGAGACGCAGACAUUCCACCUACGUCACAGAGAGAUGACAGUUACGCUACGUGACGUGGCCAUUAUAGCUGGACUACGAGUCUCCGGGGAGCCUGUUACAGGACGUGUUUCAUUUGAUUUGUUGCAUACAUGUGAGCUUCUUCUUAGGAUACAGCCAGACGAUGUCGUCACCGGCCAGAUCCGCUUGGAGUGGUUGUUUCAGCAUUUCCGGCAUAUUCCUUUGGAUGCUCCGGUGGCCGUGGUUGCAGCAUCUGCACGAGCAUACAUUUUAUUUCAAAUUGGAUGCAGUUUGUUUCCUAACCCCACUAGAUAUUGCGUUCACCUCAAGUCGCUACCGCUACUUGAGGAUUUUGACUUCUGCAGAGGCCUAGCUUGGGGCGCAACUACCUUGGCCUAUCUCUAUCGGGCAUUAGGGAAUGCCUCUAUGAAAGGAAAGGCCGAGUGUUGUGCUUUUGGUACACUACUACAGGUCAAAUCACGAUAACUUAGUUUUUUUUACUAAUAACUUAUAACUUAUAACUUAGUUUCUUUUACAAAUUUUAUAGUUAACUUUUUUUGUUCUUAGAUAUGGGCAUAGGACCAUAUACACAUUGGACAUCCCGAUUGAGUUGGAGCUCCACCGGAUCUCCAUGAUUGUCCAUUGGGUUGUCGGUAUGCUAUGUAUUUAAAAUAUAAUAUAAUAAAAUAAUAAAUAUUGAUAUUGUAUUGAUAUAUUAUAAAAUAAUUUAAUAUACUAUUAAUCACUUCUGCAGGUGGAACAUGGGAUUGUGGAAAUGUCAGGGCGAUUGACAUUGAGUUUAAUCGCGAUGAGCUAGAUCAGCAGAGAGAGUCACAAGUACGUAUAGAUUUCAUAAAUUAAAUACAUGCAUAUACAUUCUAAAAUCUUACAUUCAUUUUUUUUAAUACACUUUGUACAGGUUACAUGGAUGCCCUAUACGGAGGAUGUUUUGAUCGGUCUUCCUGCAUUUUGUCUUGAGGGCUCAGCAAUCUGGCGUUCGAGAACUAGUUUGAUAUGCUAUCAUAUUGUCGAGCUACAUUUACCUGAUAGAGUUCUUCGUCAGUUUGGAUUGCUGCAGCAUAUACCGGAGCCUGUAGAAGCUAUACAGAGGAUCACCUCACAGGGUAGAUCAGGCGAGGACUGGGCAGCGUUUCAUGCUCCAUAUAUUCAGCGUUGGGCAGAUCGUCUGGAGUAUAUUGCGAAGCAGAGUCCUUUCGUCGAUCUAGAUCCGAUACGAGCUACCUCUGUGUACAUGCAGUGGUAUUGGGGGAUCACACGGAGGUGGAUUUCUCGUCCUGUACAGCGGCCUCCACUUACUUUUCUGCCGCGUGGGAAUGUCGAGCGACGAUUGGUAAGAUUAUUUUAUUUUAUAGUUUAUUUUAAUAUAAGGAUAUUCAUUAUAUAUAAACAUGUAUGUUUAUAUAGGUGUAUGCUAUGCGGCAUGCUGUUAGCAGUAUUAGUCAUUUGAUGGAUGAUCCUCCGGAGUCCACUAGAAUGAUGGAUGCUCUAGCAUAUGUAAGGUGGGACCUCGAGAGUGUAUUAGAGAGCCUUCCGACAUUACCAGUGAUAGGGCAUUCGGAUGUUUCUUCUCCGACUUUUGGUUCUUAUGGUGAUAUUCCCUCCACUCCACACCUGCAUAUGAUUUCGGUGAUAUUCCCUCCACCUCUGCGCCUGCAUAUGAUUUCGGUGAUAUUCCCUCCAUCUCGAUGCCUGCGUAUGAUUUUCCAUCGACAUCCGUCCCAAUUCAUCCAUCUGAUGUCCCUUCGACAUCGGAAGUGUAGUUUGAUAUUCCGUCGGCAUCCAUCCCUCCAUUUGAUAUUCCAUCUACGUCAGAGGUAUUAUAUUUUGAUAUUUCAUUCACGUUUAUCCAUCUUUCUGAUGUUUCAUUCAUGUUGCAGGUUCGUCACGAUGAUGUUGUAUACCGACGUAGGCGACGACGACAGGGUCAUAUUGAGACGCAGGAAGGGAUACUACCAUCAGCUGUUGAGCAAGGGAUGGAGCCGAUUGUCGAGGGCAUCGCCAUCGAGCAUAUUGAUCAGAUGCAUGUCAUUGAGCCCGUGCAGCCUGAGAUGGAGCAUGACGUACAUAUUCGAGGACGGAGUCGAGGGCGGUCGUGGACGCAGACGUGGACGUGGCAGGGGACGAGGGCGAGAGCAUAGGAGGGGGAUGGAGGGGACUUGAUGUUUUUUUAUCAUUUAUGAGAUACUUAUGUAUAUUUGAUAUUUCAGAUCUUUCUACGUUGAUUUUUUAUAGUAUUACCUAAAAUUAUUCAUAUUGAAAUGUGUUGAUAUUGGUAUAACUCAUUUUAUAUGCUUAAAGUGUGGUUGAAGUUGGUAUAGAUGAUUUUAUAUAUUUAUUUAUAUAAUUGAAAUGCUUGAAAACAUUAUUUUUUGUAUAAUGUGGGAAUUUGCAAAGUUGCUGCUGUUUUGUUGUAGUACAGCUUGAAUGCGGUGAACCAUUCAUCGCAUAUAAAUGCGGUGAACUGUUCACCGCUUAUAAAUGCGGUGAACGGUUCACCGCUUUUAAAAACGGUGAACGGUUCACCGCUUUUAAUGUAUUUUUCUCACAGGCCGGGAAACACCAUGAAGGCGGUGAAGGUGGUGAAUGGUUCACCACCUUCAUAGGAUUUUUAAAUCCUUAUGAAAGCGGUGAACCAUUUACUGCUUUCACAUGAAAGCGGUAAAUGGUUCACCGCUUUCAAAGUCUCCCGCCACCUCACUGCCCACAUGGCAGUUUCGAGCCUAUUUUCGCAAAUACAAAUUUCAUAAGCCUAUUUUUAGAAUAAAAGUGUUGGAGGAGAUUAGUUGGGUAAAAACUCCUCAGUCUUCACUCUCGUGGCACCGCCGGAUACGUGAGGCGGGGUCCCGCGGCGGGAAGAAACUAUUGCCUGCACCGCGCGUGUGGAGCGCAGUCGUACGCCAUCGGGAUAUUAUUUUUAGUUAUUUGAAUGUGGUUACCCUAUAUUUCCGGAACACGUAAAUUCUACAAACUAAUAGAUUUGGGACGUCCAUUUCUUACAUGUGGAAAAAUAGUUUUUAUUUUAGGUACUAGAUUCAAAAUAUAUAAUCUUUAUAUUGUAGGUUUUCUAGAUACUAUAAAUUAUAUCUAUCACAUUAAGCCUCAUUNAAAGCUGGAGUGCAUUCUAAGUGCUCAAGUGUCAAAAAGAAAAUACUUCUACCAAUAUAUUUAAUUAUAUAAAAUUAUAACAUAAAAAGGAAAAAUAGUUUUUAUUUUAGGUACUAGAUUCAAAAUAUAUAAUCUUUAUAUUGUAGGUUUUCUAGAUACUAUAAAUUAUAUCUAUCACAUUAAGCCUCAUUGAAUUUGCAUUGUUAUUUUUUUCCUUUUUAUGUUAUAAUUUUAUAUAAUUAAAUAUAUUGGUAGAAGUAUUUUCUUUUUGACACUUGAGCACUUAGAAUGCACUCCAGCUUUCCCGCUAUUUAAUAAAUGACAAUUUUUUUCUUAAAAAAAUUCUAGUAAAGGGGAAAAAAAAGAGAUAAUUACUCUAAAAUCUUCUUUUUUUGCUGUUAAACAAAUAUUUUUAAGUAAGAAGAUUAUAGAUAACCAACCAUUCUUUCCUACAUUACUUUAUGUAAAAAAUCAUUAAAAGAAAAAAAUAAAAAACCAAAAAAGCAUUCAUGCAAACUAGUCUCUUUUUAUUAGACUACCUGUAAUUUAAGUCUCUCUUUAGAAUUGUAGAAAAUUGCAGAAAAACUAACUUUGCUUCUUUGUUAUAUAAUAUCAUGUUGUGUAUAAGGCAUUCAUUUUAAUAUAUUUUUCUACUCCAAUUCAAAUCGACAUAUUUUUCUUAUUUUUUUUUUCUUUUUUUUUGUGCAGAAAGUGUGCGUACGCGUUCUAUAUAUUUAUAUACAUACUGGGAGCAGAAAUGUAUAAUUCCUCGGAGGCGCGCGUGCGAGGUGGGUCCUCCACGGAAUGCGCGCGUGCUGGCGCUAUUGUGGCGGCUGAAGGCCCAGCAGAGAGGGGGUUUGGGUGGGCCCCGCAGUGCUCAGCCCGGCCCGGCAGCGUGUCCCGGAAUGAGGGCGCCGCGCACACGGGAUUGGUGGCUUCGGGAACGUAUGUGUAGGGUUGUGGCAUGUCUCCGGGUACAAGCCCACGUUUGGCGCCCACUCCAUCGAUUGCGGACGGCAGGGAAAGCGCAAGAUGAUUGGGCGUGGACCCCAGCUAUCAGCUGGGCCGGCUUGAAAACUAGCUAGCUAUAGGACAAUUAGCAUAGGGCUAGUUUAGCCUUAUAGAGUCGCUCGUAAGAGUUGAAAUGUGUCACGUAUUUCGAGCGGGAAGUUAGGACGCUGGAAGUAGAAGUGAGCGUGGGUUUUGAUUUUCCAUACUACAAAAUCAAUAAGUUGCCUGAUUAAUAUAAUAGGUGUACAUGUAGAUAUAGCAAAUUUCAUUAAUAUAACAAUGAAGUGUGUGUAUGGCCCAAGCAACACUGCAGAUAUAAAUAUUUUAAUAAUAUAUUUUAAAUAAUAUCUUUAUAUUUUUUUUGGGAGCCGAAUUCCUUAUCCUUACCUCGGUCAAAGAUCUCCCUCGACAAGCGUGCAGGAAUUUGGAACGGCUAUGAACAGUGACCCUCGAAGUUUGCGCCCAUCGACUGGAUCAAGCAAUUCGGCUGACGAGGGAUCGGAUCAGCCGAGUUCAAAGACUUUACUGUAGAUUCGGUUCGGCUAGAUGAGCCGAAUAUACGGACUAUACAAAAGCUAAGGUCUGCCGAUGAGCCGAAUUGAUAAAAACACAGCGUUUGGUCGGCCUAAAGAGCCGAAAACCCUUAAAUAUAUUGAAACUGGCUGGUGGAAAGAAAACAGGGAUCGACUGUGCCUGAUGGCAUACAGACUCGGUUGAUCUACUUAGGAACUAUUCUUAGGAAAAAAAGUAAAUACGGAAAAGUAAAAGUUACAAGUAGACUACUCCUAGGAAAUGCGAGAAAUUGUAAGGAAAAUAAGGGCGGUCUUCUAUUCACGAAAAAAAGACCUCUUUUUAGGACGUUAUUUGCUUAUUUAUAUAUCGCCCCCGUUGAUCAGUUAUUACCUAUCCAUGAUCGGCCACUAUUCCUUAAUUUUUCUGACCACUUUCAGCCGAUCGGAACCGCUUGCAACUGCUUGUGGUUGCAAUAACUUCCCUUAAAUCGUGCGGUUUAGGACUCUUUCGAUGCUCCUAGUAUAUAGCGCAUCAAUGAAGCUGAAUGGAGUACCGGUGUACCACAUGUCUGCGUCUUAUUGGCCCAACAAUUUUAUAUUAUUUUAUUAUCUUAAUUAUUAAUUAAAUAGAUUUAAGCAUAAAUAAUUGAGCUAGGCGGGUAUACUAUUGGUAGCACGGAGGCCUCCGUGUUACCAAGUUGUUUUCGAUGAUGCGGCUUCCAAAUCCACGAUCGGCUCCGUUAGACUUGAUCUACACUAUUAAAAGUAUUAUUAAAUUUUAUAAUUUUUCGACAUCAUUUGGCUAGUGAUCAACAGGUCUCAAAAUUGACAAUUUUAAUGAUAGAUGUGAUGCGUUUGUGAAUUUAACGGUGUAAUACAAUCCAAAUCUGAUGAAUUUUUUAGAGAAAAUUCUUUUUACUAUUUAGAGUAAGAUCAGUACUUCUGAUCUUAAAUUCAAGACUUUUAUCAUCAUUUUUUAUGAGAUUUUUAUUUUCAGCCGUUUAUUAUUAGACUACUUGUUUGAUAGGAAAUGAUGUCAAAAAAUUAUAAAAUUUAGUUUCUAAAUACUUUCAAUAGUGUAGAUCAACUCUAGCGGAGUCGAUCGUCGAUUUAGAAGCCGCAUCAUUGAAAACAACUUGAUAGCACGGAGGCCUCCGUGCUACCGAUAGUAUACCAGCCUAGCUCUAAAUAAUUUAUAAUUAAAAUAAUUAAAAUAAAAAUUAAUUUAAUUUGGUUCAUGUGCGGUAUAAAUUUUUAUAAGAACUAAUUGUUGACCUAGUGAUCCUAAUCUGCAACUAAAUUUCGAUGAUUACAAAUAAUAGUAAAAUUUAGACUAAUUUUUUUUAUCUUGAAUUUUGUAUUUACAUCUCUCAAAUUUUGAAAAGGAAUUCUAAAAGGGCAAGUUGCAAGAGGUGAACUACAUCUUUUGAAGCAAUCUAUAUAUGCUUCCAAAGUCAGGGAGACUAUAUUUGAUCCCUUUAAAUUUACAACUGUCUAUAUUUAUUAUGCUUUAUAUAAUCAUUAAAUAUAAAUUUGAUAAAUUUCGUGCACUGUAGAGAACUUUUUGCUAUAGUAUAUGCACGGUGUUCAACACAGUCACGAUCCGUAUGGUAGUGAUCAUGUUUCCUUUUCUCGAGGUCGAGGUCGAUCUUUUCAUAUUUAAGUAAUCAUGAAGACAUGGUAAGAUUGAUACAUUGCCUCUUCCAAUGUUGAUGAUCUGGGCCUGCAUGUAUAUUUGUGCUGGCUACGAAAGAUUCAGUAACAAAUAAGAUAAUUACCUACGUACGUGCCUUUUUAGCAAAAAGAUAAAAUCGAAUUAUAUAGUGAAGGCAAAAGGAGGCGGCAUAUGGUCUAGCUAGUCAUCUAUGAUUCUAUUUAGGACUAACCACAAAACCUUUAUUUGAUUUUCAAUUUUAGCAAUUUUUUUUUCAAACUUAUAAUUAAAGUAAUGAUUACUGUAAUUAAGAAUCUUCCUGGAAAAUGAAAGAAAUUGCAAAAACAGUACGUAAUCUACCAUGCAUGUGAACCAAAAUUUGCUAUGUGGCACUUUACGUUAGAAUAAACAGGUUUUUAUAACAAAUGCUGAAUUUAAAUAGUUAGUGCUGGGUUAGAAACUGAAUACGGGGCGAUGCUGACUGGAUCAUGGCGUUGACCAAGUCACGCUCUUCUUCGGGAUGCAAGUCGGCCCCUAGGAUGAUCAUGGAAUGCGCUACUAACGAACCAAGCGACUCGGUUGAGAAGGAAUCGGCUCUGUCACGCGCGCCCCGAUUCCACAGCAGAAACCCAUGGGGACGUCAAUAGACCAGCCAAACGGAUAGAGUUUUUUUGUCUUGGCGAAGUAUAUAUCAACACAACAUAACAGUAACAAAGCAAUACUAGAGAUCACAACUAAGUCUUCCAAGUCACAAGAACAAGAAUAAAGUCACUAAAUAAAUGAACUACAUAUAUCAUAGCCGUCACACCCCCAAACCAUUACCAAUUUGGCACAGUUCGGCUGCGUCGAACAGACGCCGAACGGGCAGCAACUCCCCUGCCCGCCCAAGGCUCACGACUUGAUCAUAUACAAGAAUUUGCUCAGGAUAAAUAAAUUCGUACAUACACGAUCAACAGGGCACAACAGUGCCAACAACAAAGAGUAAGAAUCACGAGUAAUGUCACGCCCCGGGACCGGCAGAGGCCCUCCCGGUAGCGCGCCCAGACCCGCCAUAUGUCACACAUAUAAGGCGUCUACAACAACAGCGGAAAUAAAGCAAGAGAUGAUCUACAACUAGAGAUAUCAGAGCAAGUACACAUCUAUAAUCUAUGAUAAGAGAAGUUGGAACAAACUAAAUAAUAAAGAGGAAACAUAAAGUUCUACAAUAACCAUCUAAAAAGUACACAAAAUAGGUGGUCUCUAUUACACUGGUACAGCUCUCAACCUCUCCAAAAAGAAAACAACUAGAGGUAGACCACCUAUCAACGCAUCCCUCGAAGCCAAGCUAACUCGAGGCGAUACCCUUUCCGCGGUCCCUAUCCUCUCCCGGUGUGGAAGGCUCUGAAAUAACAUCAAUAAAAAGAGGGUGUGAGAACUAUAAUUUAUAGUUCCCAAUGGGCAAUUACUGAGCUCAGCUCAAUGCACCACUAGGCCCCAAAAGAAAAGGGUAAGCACGAUAAACAACAAUAAUAAUAAUAAACAGUAAAUAUAAGAGCAAGUAUUGUUUGCUAAAUUUACUAUGCCAGAAACCAUAAGAUGUCAAUGUAUUGAACAUAUAUUCUAUCAAGAUGUGGUAUACCCCCUGCAUGUCUACUAUGCCCCAACAUGGCAAGCAAAUAGAUAACAUGAUCUGUUCUAACAAUAAAUGAUGAUUAUGCUCUAUCAUGGCAACCAAGUAUACUAAGAUGCAACCGGCAAAUUAUUAAGUAUACAACAUAUCUCAACACUACGCUACAAGCAUGUCAAAGUAAUCCAACUACUAAUCCUAUUUAGUAGUGAUUGUUAUCUUCCGAUUAAAUGUCAUUGUUUAAUCAUCUUCUAGGACCUACAUAAAUGUAGUCCAGCUUGUGCCACCUAAGUGUCGGUGGUAGCUCCAACAUUUCCACUCUAGGAAUGAGUCUGUCUCUCCUGACCCCGUAGGUUUCUCAAUACCGCACGAGCAAGCAUAAGUCGCGUAAGCCAACUUUGGAGUGCCGGCUUGUAGGGAGCGACCCUCACAAGCAUGUGCGAAUGAGCACAAAUGGCAAGCAAGCGUAGUCAACGUCUCAAAUACCCAAUCAUCAUGUCUCUAAUAUGGUAAAAGUCACUAGCAUCUCAAAGAUCUAGUUCUAUGUCUCAAAGUGAUGUUCCAACACUCACUAUGCUUAGUGCCUCUUUAUGGCACUUAAGCUUGUUAUAAGUUAACACGUUUCAUAAUCUAUGUUCCAUUCAUGACAUUUGUAUUAAGUUCUCAUUUAAUCCGAGCUCAAUGCCCCUUUAUGACAUUAGUCCAAUUAUUCACAAGUAGUACAAGUCUCCGAGCCUCUUUAUGGCUUACUAAGAUCCUUUAAAUCUCAAGUAGGAAUAGUUUUAAAUGCAUGCAAGUAAUGCUCAUUUUCACUAUAGGAAUUAUGAUUCCAAGUCUCAAUAGGAUGCCAAUCAUGUACAAGUUCCACAUGCUAGUUCUCUACUACAUAGAGGUCCGAAAAUCAUCACACAUAAUGUAAGGUACCGGACUUCUAAAAUUAUGAAGUUACGGUGUACAUUUGGUUUGAAAGCCAUUUGAAUGAUUUCGGUGAGGUUGCGGUGGAAUGUAAUAUACCGGAUUUUAAAUAUAAAAAUAAAAACAAAUAAAAAUAGUGUGAGAUACUAUUUUUAUUGAAUUUAGAGGAGUAAAACAUAAGUCAGGAGUGACUUGUGCUGAAAUCGGAAUGAAAACAGAAGAUAUAGAAUUUUCUGUUGGAGACGGGACAGAAAAAUAAGCAGAAAAUGCACAGUCUCAGAAAAUUAUGAAAAUUGGCGGAGAUGUCAGAAAUAUUUUUAUGAGGCUAGAUUUAAGGUUUCAUAUUUUUCUGACACCCAUAGAGUGAGAAAUAAAAUCCGAAAGCUAUCUGAUAAAGAUUGCAGUUCGGUACAGUUUUCAGUGACCAAACGGGGUCGAAACUGAACCAGUGAUCGUCAGCUUGUUAAGUUAAGUAAAACCGAACAUGACUGUCAAGUUUGAGCUCAAACGGAGAUUCAGGGAGCUCCGGCGAAAGUUAUCAGAUUUUAAGCUGCCUGGAGGUGAAUAGUGUUGGGGUGUAAUUAAAUAGAAGCAUGAUGCUUCUUCUUCCUCCUUCAGCCGUGCACACCCACACACACCUCACGCACACAUGGAGAGAGGAGAGAAACUCUCCUUUCUCUCUCUAGAGAUCUCUCUCAUUUCUCUAUAUCUCUCGCUCAAAUUCGCGGGGUUGGUGGAGAAUAUGCUUGCGAACGCGUUGGAGGCGACGGAUUGAGCUUUCGUGCGCCCGUUGGAGCGGUGUGUUGUCGUCGCGGCGUUCACAUUGAGGUAAGCUUUUAGGAUUUGGCUUAAUCCUUAGCUUUAAGUAUUCUAAUAGCCUCUAAUGAGCUUUGUUAGCAUGUUGAUCCAUUUAAUUUUGGAUUAUUUUGAGGUUAAUAGCAUAUUAGGGCUCCGAAUGGGGUUUUGUAAAAUAUGAGGGUUUGAUCUAAUUUGACCCUUCGUAAACCUAAUUGCUAGGUAACGAAACGCGUUGGCGAAGACGGUUCGGCAAUCCGACGAGCCGUUACAAAGUUAUUAAAGAAAUGGACGUUUAGGCUUCGGGUCCGCCGGGAGGGCCGAGGCGACAUCGUAAAUUCAUGAAAAUGGAUUUGAAGCAUCGUGGCACAUAACCGAAGACCUUUAAUUUUCGGAUCGUGAAUUGGAGGCCGUUCGGGUGGUCGCGUGAGAGAUCGGGCCAAACCGGGUGCCGGGUGCCGCGGGAGGCCGAUUGCAAGUGUCGACAAGCAAUCGGAAUGCGAAAUGAGGUGGGUUGUGCUUACCGAAGCGACUAGGUCGCCCUUUAUGUUUAAGAAACAUACGAGUUCACAUUGAUGCAUAUAGUUGUAUUGGUAGGCUUACAUGAUAAUAUGAAUGCUUGAAACAUAUUAUGUAGUUGAUAUUACCUACCAAUGAGAUGAAAUGUAUAAUGAAUUAAAUGCUAAAAGAAUGCAUGAGAUGCUAAGUAUAGACUACUUUGGAUGAUGAUUAUAUGUAUGUUGACAUAUCAUGUGAUGCUAGUAAUAUAUGUGCAUGAUGACAUGUUGUGAAUUAACAUAUUGUGGAUUAUGUUAAAUAGAAACAUAUACAUGAUGACAUAUAUUGCAUAUGAUAGAAGAAUUAUACAUGUUGCCAUAUUGUGGAACAUAGUGGAUGAAUUAUGCAUGUUGAACUUGGUCGAUUAGAGAAAUUGACAUUGGAAAACAAGAACACAUCGAGUGGCAUUAAUGUAGUGUAUUUGACACUAGAGGUUUGAGAACCUAGGGAUAGGUGAAUCCCUUAGAAAAUGCCUUGUGGAUAAAGAACUUAGUAAACCUAAGUACCCUCACAUGGAGAGGUUGUCGAUGAGUUAUUGAGAUAUUGACUCUAGUUGUAGAGCAUCCUCACUUGGAGAGGAUUUGAUUGGGUUGUUGACUCUAGUUGUAGAGCAUCCUCACUUGGAGAGGAUUUGAUUGGGUUGUUGACUCUAGUUGUAGAGCAUCCUCACUUGGAGAGGAUUUGAUUGGGUUGUGGACCCUAGUUGUAGAGUAUCCUCACUUGGAGAGGAUAGAUCUAGCUCACAGUCUGCGUUUGGGAUGGUAUAGCCAUCCAAUCCCCACAUGGAGGGGAUUGUCGUCGAGUACUCCGGAGUGUCGUGCGACUAGGACCACUUGGAGGUCCGGACCACAUGGAGGUCCGCAGACGGUCCCGGGCUUGGGUGCACUUGGAGCUCCCUCCCCACUUUGGGAUUGAAAGGUGAGUUAUUGGCGAACCCUAGGGCUUCGCUACAGAUUGGGUAAAAGAACAGUGAACAAUGCCAUUGAACAUUAUUAUUCGAACAUGGAUCGAAUUCGUUAGCAUGAUAGUAAACCUUUACUAUUUGAUGCAUGGUAUGAGUUUUAGUUGCAUCCCAGUUGAGUGGAUUUAGGGCUGAGGUGCAUGUGAGACAUCCUUCACCUUGAGCCUGGCUUUGUGCGGUAUUCCGCGUGUGAUUGACUCAAGACCGAGUCGAGUGGAUAGCUUAUAAAAGCAGGUUAAACCCUAUGAGCAGAAUUGUAAUUGACAAGAAUCUAAGAUAGAGGAAAACUUAGAAGUCAAUUGGUUGAACUGUGAAUAACAGGAAUAAAAGUAGUAUCGAUUGAACUACUAGUUGGUUGCAUGGUUGCAUAAACUGCAUGAAUUUCAUAUUGCAUUUUGUGAGGCACAACAUGUAUUUCAAUACUUGAAUAUAUAUAUCUGUUGGAUAUCUGUUGGACUAACAUGUUGCAGGGCCUCCUUAGACCUAUUGGUCGAGCUUUUCCCUUGGGUGGCCGUACCCACUGGGAACCAUGGAGUUGGUUCUCACCCCACGUUGUUUUGGGGUGUUACAGGUUCGCACGUGAGCGGCGCGGCGGCGCAAGGCGAGGGCGUAGCUCCAUAGAUAGCGCCCUACCCCAGAGACCAGAGAUAGAGGUACCCCGAGUCGGCAUAGCCUAGGGGUAGAGGGAAAAGAAAAAGAGCAAACUUGUAAUAAUAUUGCGAUCAUUGAUUGUAUUUGGAAGAAAAUGUAAUGUAAUAAUGCUAAUGUGAUGUAAAAAUGAAUCUAAUGAAUGCUUGUAAUAACAUAGGAUGUGUUAUGUUGUUUGAUACCUUCCUUAUGCAAUCUUGCUUGAAUACUGUUCCUGGUUGGAACUUCUUGUACUUGUAUUGAUUGCGACGCCUAGGACGUACAGGGGAGACUCUGUCCGUUCGGCGGUCUGUCGGCGGCGCCGCGACCUCGGCCAAAUAGGCGGGUGGUCGCGGGUCGUGACACAUAACAUAAGCAUGUUAAGCAUCCUAAAAUUCACAAUAAUUACAUUUAUCAUGAAAAUGGAUGAAUUUUUACUCUACGAAGCAUAAAACAUAGGAUAUGAGAAUUUCUCAUAUGCUAGGCUAGGUCAAACCCACCGAACUUCGCGCAACCCUUCAUUUGCUCCAACGAAGAUGUCCACUAAUCUCCUAGCACCCUAGAAGCAUAAAAAAGUGAGCUACAAGAAGUAAACGAACAACUACUAGCUCAAACAUUAACCUAUCAAGCAAAAGGGCCAAAAUCUCACCUAUAGAGAAAAAUCUCUUUUCAACCUUCAAAAGAAAGCUAGGACCCUUCCAAUGGAACCUAGAGGAAGGUUCUAAUCCAAUAAAUUGAGCUCCAAAAGCCCUAAAAUCAAAAUGCCCAAAAUCAACCCUAAAACCUCAUUCUAGGGUUUCAUCUCCUAAAAACCAACAAAACAUGGUCUAGAGGGAAGAAAUGAGCAACUAACCUUCUUAGAAGCUCCAAUCCAAGCUCCAAGGAUGAAGAUCUCCUCUCUUGCAAGCUCCAAGACAAAGCCUCCAAGCACCAACAAGGUGGGAAGAGAAGGAGAGGAAAAUGCUCCAAGUCCUCAAGCUAGAUCCUCCCCCUCUUCUUCUCCUUCUUCUUCUUCUCUUCCUUCUUCUCCUUCUUCUCUCUAGGGUGUUGGGAGAAUGAGAGAAAGAGAAAUGAGAAAAGGGAGAGGGUGAAAUGGCCAUAUAGGCCAUCAAAUGCAACAAAAUCCAAAAAGGCCCCUCAAUUUCCCAAUAUUGCAACAGCCCGGACUGGGCAGUUUUCGGACUGAGGGACCGGUCUCCCCGACCUGGGACCGGUCUCUCGGCCUGCCCCGAAAAUCCAACGUUCGGGAACUGGUCUCUCCCCGCAUAGGACUGGUCUCUCCCCGCGUGGACGCGCUCGGGGACCGGUCUCAUCCGCCAGGGACCGGUUGCCUCAAGGCUGCCGUAAUACUGUUCCCGGGGGACCGGUCUCUCCCAGCCAGGGAUCGGUCCCCGAGAGUAAAAACUCUCAGGACUCGUCCAGAACUCAGAUUUUCGAACUUUUUAGGUUGGAAAACAUUUUACGACCCUCCACCAAGUGUGGAAAAGCUCGGAACACAUCAAUCAGUUCAACCUCGCAAUUUGCAUAGGUCCAGUGUGCUACAUUCACCCCUCCUAAAAAGGAGUUUCGUCUGCGAAACUCAAAGCAACUACAUACCUCAAGACUUCGUCUGAAAAAGAUGGGGAUAGCGCUCCUGCAGCGCGUUCUCUAGCUCCCACGUGGCCUCCCACUCCCCGUGGUUGCUCCAAAGAACCUUCACAUACGGAAUGUCCCGAUUCCGUAGUUUCUUCACCUCAUGGGCCAAGAUCUUCACGGGUUGCUCCUCGAAGCUCAAAUCCUCUCUCAGCUCCAAUGGUGUAGCGUCAAGCACAUGAGCUGGAUCAUGGAUGUACUUUCGAAGGACCGAUACAUGAAAUACAUUGUGUACACCCGAUAGAUUCGGAGGUAGAGCAAGUCGAUACGCUACCGGGCCUACACGCUCCAAAAUCUCAUACGGUCCAAUGUAUCGGGGGCUCAGCUUACCGCGAAUUCCAAAUCUUCUAAUCCCUCUGGUCGGCGAGACUUUCAAGAAGACAUGAUUACCAAUCUGAAACUCUAAGUCUCGUCGACGCCUAUCAGUAUAACUCUUUUGCCUACUCUGGGCUGUCAAUAGUCGCUCCCGAGUAAUGCGAACCUUGUCCUCCGCUUUCUAGAGCACAUCUGGGGCUAAAGCCAAUCUCUCACCAACUUUACUCCAAUGAAGUGGCGAUCUACACUUGCGUCCUUAGAGUGCCUCGAAAGGUGCCAUCUUGAUGCUUGCUAGAUAAUUGUUGUUAUAAGCAAACUCUGUCAUUGGUAGAUGCUGCGACCAUCCUCCCUGAAAAUCUAUCACACAGGCUCGAAGCAUAUCCUUGAGAGUCUGUAUAGUUCACUCAGAUUGCCCAUCACUCUGGGGGUGGAAAGCUGUACUGAAGUUUAAGCGCGUACCCAAAGCAUCCUGUAAGCUCCUCCAAAAGUGAGAUACAAAUAGGGGGUCUCAAUCUGAUACUAUGGAAGUACGUACCCCGUAUAAUCACACAAUCUCAUCCAAAUAAACUUGUGCGAGUCUCUCACCAGUCCAAGUAGUGUGGAUAGGUAUGAAAUGUGUCGAUUUCGUCAGCCUAUCCACGAUCAACCAAAUAGCAUCAUACCCGGCCUGAGAGCGGGGCAAACCCAUCACAAAGUCCAUGGUGAUCUUCUCCCAUUUCUAUACUGGGAUCGGUAAGCUUUGCAAUUUCCCCGCGGGAACUCGGUGCUCAGCUUUCACCUGUUGGCAGGUUAAACAUCUAGCAACAAACUCACCGACGUCCUUUUUUAUCCCGGGCCACCAAUAAAGCAACUUUAAGUCCUUAUACAUCUUGGUGCCUCCCGGAUGUAUAGCAUACGGUGCUCGGUGUGCCUCUUGAAGAAUUUCUUCUCUAAGUGCCGAUUCCGCCGGUACACAGAUCCGUCCACGGAAACGCAUCAAUCGAUCAUCGCCCACAGAAAAGUCACCGGUGCAACCAUUACUCAUCUUAGCUCGAAUCUUUUGCAACUCCACAUCGGAGACUUGCUUUUCUUUAAUCCUUUCCACCAGUAUAGGUUGCACCACCAAAGUCAUCAGUCUCAAAGGUGUAUCAGGAGUCACCACCUCCAACUCUAACCGCUUCAUCUGCUCGAUCAACGGCGAUUGAGUGACCACAAGCAUUGCUAAGUUUUCCGUCGAUUUCCUACUUAGCAUAUCCGCUACCACGUUAGCCUUGCCUGAGUAGUAAAGAAUAGUCAAGUCAUAAUCCUUGAGUAGCUCCAACCUUCUGCGCUGCCUCAAGUUCAGCUCUUUCUGAGUGAAUAAAUACUUUAAGCUCUUGUGAUCCGUAUAUACUUCGCAUCGCUUGCCGUACAAGUAAUGGCGCCAUAGCUUCAAUGCAAAGACCACGGCCGCCAACUCCAAAUCAUGAGUAGGGUAGUUUCUUUCAUAAUCCUUCAGUUGGCGAGAAGCAUACGAGAUCACUUUCCCGUCCUGCAUCAAGACACAGGCCAAUCCAUUAAAGGAAGCAUCACUAUAAAUCACAUACUCUGCUCCAGCAGUUGGCAAGGUUAGGAUCGGGGCGGUCAUCAAUCUCUGCUUCAAUUCUUGGAAGCUCCUUUCACACGCAUCAUUCCAAACAAACUUGGUGCCUUUAUGCGUGAGCCUCGUGAGGGGAGUGGGUAACUUUGCAAAUCCCUCAACAAACCGUCGGUAGUAGCCGGCAAAGCUAAGAAAACUCCGAAUCUCGGUGACACUCGUCGGCCUCGGCCAGUCCUUGAUAGCUUUAAUCUUUUUAAGAUCCACAGCUAUACCUGAUCCUGAAAUCAAAUGGCCCAAAAACGCCACCUUUCUAAGCCAAAACUCACACUUUUUCAAUUUGGCGUAGAGCUCCUUUUUCCGAAGUACUUGAAGUACAAGUCUCAAGUGUUCCUCGUGAUCCGCAUCACUUCGGGAAUAGACCAAAAUGUCGUCGAUGAAUACUACGAUGAAUCUGUCUAGAUAAGGCUUGAAAAUAUUGUUCAUUAGAUCCAUAAAAGCUGCCGGGGCAUUAGUAAGCCCAAACGACAUAACUGUAAACUCAUAAUGUCCAUACCGUAUUCUAAAAGCCGUCUUCGACACAGCCUCAGGCUUAAUCUUCAGCUGGUGAUAUCCCGACUGCAAGUGGAUCUUGGAAUACACACUAGAUCCCUGGAGCUGAUCAAACAAAUCAUCAAUCCUCGGUAAUGGAUACUUAUUCUUGAUCGUGACCUUAUUGAGUUCACGAUAAUCCACACACAAGCGAAGCGAUCCAUCCUUCUUCUUGACAAAUAGGACCGGUGCUCCCCAAGGUGACACACUCGAUCGCAGAAAACCCUUGUCCAGAAGGUCCUGCAGCUGUGCCUUCAGCUCCUUCAAUUCCGCCGGUGCCAUCCUAUAGGGCGCUUUUAAGAUUGGAGUAGUCUCGGGGACGAGAUCUACCACAAACUCAAUCUCCCUAUCAGGUGGCAUGCCUGGUAACUCCGCUGGAAACACAUCUCCAAACUCCCGCACGACGGGGAUGUCCUCAAUCCUAGGGGCAUCGACAUCACCCCGCAACACAACGGUAGCCAAAUAGGCUACGAAGCCUCUGCUAAUCAACUGUUUAGCUCGAGAGGAGCUAAUCGUCAUCGCAAACAGCAAACUCUGGCAUCCUCGGUACACAACUUCCGCCUGCCCCGGCUCUCUAAACGUCACAGUUCGAUCCUUGCAAUCGAUAGUGGCGUAGUACUUGGUCAACCAGUCCAUGCCCAAAACAACAUCAAACUCUCCGAGUUUAUGCAAGGCUAGCAAGUCCACAGGCAUGACCCAAUCUCCAACCCGAACAGGGCAACUGGGGUAAAACUCUCGAAUAUCCAAAGAGUGAUCGGGUACUACAACUCGUCCCGGAUGCAACAAAGAUGUCAGUGGGAUGCCAUGCAACUCGGCAAACAGCCGGUCUAUGAAUGAAUGCGAUGCAACGGUAUCAAAUAAUGCUCGUACUCGAAUACCAUAAAGUAAAAUGAUACCUGUGACCACAUUCUCGGCUGCUACCGCCUCCUCAGUCUGGGCCGCAUACAUGCGCCCACUCGGGGCCUGUCAUGACCCCUCCGCUUGCCGCUGAACUGGCGGCCGUCCAGCCUGGUGAUGCGCAGAAAGUGUCCCCUGGCUGGGGCCCGGUAAAACUGGUGCAGAUGCCGAAGAUGGCGCUGGUGCUGGACCCCUUCUGGCAGUCCGACUGGAAGUGGCCUUCCUGGCCACACAAGUAGCACCUGCCCCGACUGCGCGCUGACCUCAGCGAAAAUACACCACUAGGCUAUAGAAGCAAAAGUAGCAAAUAAACUACAAUAAACAACAUGUAUGUGAAAUACAACAAUUAACUUGGCUAAGCUACUAUGCCUCAUGUUUAGCAUGAUAUUAAACAUGAGAAGUUACUAAUCUAUCAUGAUUGAGUAUAUCCGAGUAUACUAGUAUGCUUUAAACAUGACUAUCACAAAUAUAAAUAUGCACCAAGUAUGAAUCACAAGUAUAAUGGCCCCGGGUAGUCCAGCAUUUCUCUAGAAAUAUGACUGUCCCACGGUGACCCAGUAGGCCCUCAAUCCCGCACGGGCGAGCAUAUGUCGCGUAGGCCAACUCCGGAGUGCCGGCUUAUAGGGAGCGACCCUCGCAAGCGUGUGCGAAUGAGCACAAAAGUCAAGCAAGCAUAGUCAUCAUCUCAAACGUAGUGUACACACUAGCAACCCAAAGGUCUAGUUUUUCUCCAAAUGUAAAAGCUUAACCGUUUACUAAGUCUAAUGCCACUUCAUGACAUUAUGAUUUACUAUGUCCACACCUAUUCCAAGUUCAAUGCCACUUUAUGACAUUAUAUGAUCUCUAUGUUUAGCAUAUGUCCGUUGCUCUCAAAUUAGUAAAAGCUUGUCAUUUCACUACAUAUAAUAUGAUUUCGAACAUAUCAUGAAAUUGCCACACACUAGCAUGAAUACUAUAUACAUAUAUCACUGCUACAUAGGGAUGAAAUGACAUGUUACAUAACAUAUGCAUUUAAAGCAUUCUAAAAUUCAUUUAUGCUCUAUCUAGCAUGAAUAUGCAUGAUUUUUUAUUUUACAAUAUAAAAUAUAAUAUAGGGGGAGUUCACCCAUUUCGGUGAGGUCAAAUCCACCAAAAACUCUUUGUAACCCUUUCGUUUGCGCGAACAAAGGUGCCCACUAGCCUCCUAUCUCUCUAAAGAAAAUUCUAAGAGGGUUAGACGAAAUGAACGACACCCAAAGUGUUCAUCUUUAACCAACCCAAGAAAAUGAUCAAACUCACCUCAAAUGGUAGAAAACCCUCUCAAAUCCCAAAUGGAAGCUAGAGCCCUUCUAAUCCAACCCAAAUGGAGGUUCCACACCUAUCAGUUAAGCCCAAAAGCCACAAAUCAAAAACCCCCAAAUAAACUAUAAUAUACCGAGAAUUUAGAAAAAUAAAUGUCGAACUUUAGUCAAAGUGACCAAAGUGCGAGGAUGGUAUACGUCGGAAAGUCCGAAUGUGUUAAAAUGAUCAAAAGUGUAUUGUGGGAGGUUUUCGAGAGCUAAAGAAUCAAAAAUCUGCAAAAUACAGUUUUUGAGCUCUCGGGGACCGGUCCCUGGUCGGAGAGACCGGUCCUCGAACGCGUGAGAAAUGAGGAAGGCUGAAAAUCGGCUAAGUCCCAGAAAACUAGCUCUCGGGAACCAGUCCCUGCCUGAGAGACCGGUCCCCGAGAGACCGGUCCCCCUAGGAGAGACCGGUUGCACUGCGCGGGGGCCUUGGCUGCCUGCGGGGAGAGCCCUCUCGGACCGGUCCCAAGUCGGGGAGACCGGUCCUCGAACACGAAAAUGGCCCAGUUUGGGCUGUUUGAUAAGAUCAAAGUUGAGGGACCCAAAUGCAAUUAUGCAUCAUAUGGGGUUAUGUUAAGGGGCAAAUGGGAUAUUUCUCUCAUUUCACUCUCUCUCACACACACUCUCUCCUCUCUUUCUCUCUCUAGAAGACAAAGAAGAGAAGAAGGAAAAGAAAGAAGAGAAGGAGAAGAAGGAAAAGAAGAAGAAGAAAAGAGAAGGAAGGUGAAGAAGAAGCCAAGGAGUAGAGCUACUUCCUCUUCUUCCUCUUUGGAUCAACAUAGGAGCAAGCUUAGAGGUAAGCUUGAACCCUAAUCAUGGUAAAACUCUAGAAUGAGAAUUAAGUGACCUAGAAAUGAUUUUAAUGGAACCUAUUGAGUAUUUGAAGCUUUCUUUUGCUUUUUUUAGAGAUCAAAACCAUGGAUUUGGGUGUUGGUGGUGAAGGUUGAAGGUAAGCUUCAACCCCUCUCAUGGUGAAACCCUAAAAUGGGUUUUGAAUGAGCUAAGGAUGGUUCAGAUGGAACCUUUACAUGAUUUGAAGCUUACUUUUGCUUCUCUAAGAGAUCAAACCCUAGGUUUUGAUAUGCUAUGAGCUAGGGCACCCAAAUUUGGGGUUUUUGCUCGGGAGGAUUUCAAAGUGAAAUUGACCCUCUAAAAACCUAAUUGGGGGUAUUUUUGACGCGUUGGUGCGCUCGGUUUAACAUUACGAAAAGCCAAGGUAAAGAUAUGAGCAAAAUGGCAUAAUAGGGCUUCGUUUUGCCGCAGGUAGCAAACUAGGAGGCUAAAAAUCUCAAAAAAAUCAUUGUAGCAUCCUAGUACGCCUACGAGGUGGGUGGUGCUAUCCAAACUUGUUGGAAUUCCUUCUAUGUCUAAUGUGUCAUUCAAUUGAGCAUAUAUGUAUAUUGUUGCAUGCAUUAUAGGGCAGAUGUGAUGAUAUAUAUAUGAGUGUUGCAUGAUGUGAGUACACGUGCUAUUUGAAAUGUUUGAGAACCUAUUCAACCCUAUAUGUAUGCAUGAGAUGAUGUGAGCGUCCAAUAAGAUGAAAGAACAAAGUGACACAAUAAAACAUAGAUCGAGUGGCAUAAAGAAUGAGUAAAGUUAAAGAACAAUGAUUUGCUAGAGUUAGCAAAAUAAAGUGAUGUAAAGAACACUAGAGUUAGUUGGUGGCAUCAAAGAGAAAUGUGACACAAAGAACGAUGAAAAUGAUUAGAGACAAGUAAAGAAAAUGAAAGUGGCAUAAAGAACGAGUAAAGUUAAAGAACAAUGAUUGCUAGAGUUAGCAAAAUAAAGUAAUAUAAAGAACACUAGAGUUAGUGUAAAGACAAUGAUUGAACUAUAUCCUUAGAGUUAAGGAUCGAUCAUACUUGCAAUGAGUUCCGUGCUCGAGGGCGGUCGCUCCCCCUCGGGCGAUGCGCUCCGGAGUUUUGCAUCACGGGUUGGAGUCAACCCGAGGACGGUCUUAGCGGGAGGCAGCUCAGGGCCCGCGAUGAUGGACUUAAUGUGGGCAAGUUAAUGUGGCGAAACCCCCGGGUUAGCCGUGAGAUUAAAGAACAAGAACAAAGAGCAAAGAUUAAAGAAUAAAGAGUAAAGAACAAUGAACUUGCAUACUUGCAUAAUUUAUAUUAAGCAGACUUCUUGCUUUAUUGUUCAGGCAUAUUAGCACCAUGAUUAUAGUUUGGUUACUAUUCUGCUUAUCCUUUCUAUUAUAGCGAUGGACUUUGUUACGGGUCUGCCUCGAUCACAAGGCGGACACGAUGCGAUAUGGGUUAUAGUGGAUCGAUUGACAAAAUCGGCACACUUGCCGAUACAUACUACGUGGUCGGGGGACAAGCUAGCUCAAGUUUAUUUCGACGAGGUUGUGAGACUUCACGGGGUUCCGAUAUCAAUUGUAUCGGAUCGAGACCCCAGAUUCACGUCCCACUUUUGGAAGAGUUUGCAAGACGCGCUAGGCACACGGCUCGACUUUGGCACAGCGUUUCAUCUUCAAAGUGAUGGACAAUAACUCAGGCAUAAUAGAAAGGAUAAGCAGAAUAGUAAUCAAACUAUAAUCAUGAUGCUAACAUGCCCGAACAAUAAAGUAGGAAGUAUGCUCAAUGUGAAUCAUGCAAGUAUGCAAGUUCUUUGUUCUUUACCCUUUAUUCUUUAAUCUUGUUCUUUGUUCUUUAAUUUCAUUGCAAGUAUGAUUGAUCCUUAACUCUAAGGAUAUAGUUCAGUCAUUGUCUUUACACUAACUCUAGUAUUCUUUAUAUCACUUUAUUUUGCUAACUCUAGCAAUCAUUAUUUUUUAACUUUACUCAUUCUUUAUGCUACUUUCAUUCUCUUUACUUAUCUCUACUCAUUUUCAUCGUUCUUUGCGUCACAUUUCUCUUAGAUGCCACACACUAACUCUAGUGUCACAUUACUUUACAUUGUCGGAUGCCACUCGAUCUAUGUUUUAUUGUGUCACUUUGUUCUUUCAUAUCAUUGGACGUUCACAUUAUAUCUCAUGCAUACAUAUAAGGUUGAAUAGAUUCUCAAACAUUUCAAAUAGCACGUGUACUCACAUCAUGCAACACUCACAUAUAUAUCAUCACACUGGACUUUCGCAAAUGGCAAGGUUUGAGUGUUUGAUCUGUGUUCCAAGUUUUUUCAGAUAUUCUGGAGGGUCGUCGAUAGUGCUCCGACCUAUGACUCGUAUCCCGAGAUUUGCGGUUUAAAACUUUGCACUAAAAGCCAAAAAGUUGGAUUAUUGGUGUGCUCUCGGGUAGCCUUCAGCAGGCUGUGUACCGGUACAGGGUUGAUGGCUGUACCGGUACGCGCUGAUGGCUGUACCGGUACGCGGGGCCGUGUACCGGUACACAGGCAGCUUCUCAGCCAACCCGAUGCUCGGGUUUGGCAUUUUCUUGGGGUGUGUAUCGGUACGCGACCCUGUGUACCGGUACGCAGUGCAGUCCGCAGACUGCUUGAACUGCAGGGGUGUUUUUGCGAUUGUAGCUUCUCUAUAUUAGUACCACACGCCCCCUGAUGUUCCUUGAGCUUGGAACCAGUGGAGAGGAAGGUAAGGGAGCUCUCUAUUCUCCCUCUUUGAUUUCCUUUGUUUUUGUUUGGGAUUUUUCGAGGUUUAAUCCUCUCUUUUUGCUCCUUUUUGCUACUUGGUGCUAUUUCCACCAUGGGAGAAAACUUGAGGCUUGGAGUUGAGCUUGUUGAAGGAGAGAUCUUCAACCCUAGUUGACUUCUAGCCUAGUUGGGAGCUUCUAUAAAGGUUGGUAACAUGUUUCUCUCAUUAGAUUCAUGUUUUACUUGAUUUUUGUUUAGAAACCCUAGAAAUAAGGAUUUAGGGUUUGAUUUGGGGAUUUUUGAUCUAGGGCUUUUGGACCCCAAUUGAUGGGUUUAGAACCUUCGUGUAGGUUGCUUUGGAAGGGCUCUUACUCCCGUUUGGAGAUCGAAAGAGCACCCUUCGCAUUCGGUGAGUUUUUAGCCUUAUGUUGAGUUGGUUAAUGUUUAACCUAUUCGUUGUUCGUAACGUUUGUGUAUCGCUCCUACUUUAACCUUUAGCGGGCUAGGAAGCUUGUGGGCACCUUCGUCGGCGCAAACGAAGGCCGUGUGGAACUCUCGGUGGGUUUCGCCUCACCAAAAUGGGAUAAAUUAUCCCUAUAAUGGGUUUUACUUUUCGUAAAAUGAAAAUGUAUGCAUAUUCUUACUAGAUAGAAUAUUUGAGAAUUUUAGAAUGCUUAAUAUGUGCAUGUUAUGUAUAAAGUAUAUUUGUGACGCACUGGACCUUUGCAAAUUGUAAGGUUCGAGUGUUUGUUUCGUGUUCUGAGCUUCUCCACACUUCGUGGAGGGUUGUUGACAGUGUUUCGACCCAUGGUUCGAACCCCGAGAUUGGAGGUUUAAAACCUAGCACCAAAUUCGAAAAGUCGGAAUUUUGGUCAGCUCUCGGGUAGCCUCAGCAUGGCUAUGAACCGGUACGGCGUUGAUGGCUAUACCGGUAUGCGUUGAUGGCUGUACCGGUACGAGGCUGGUGUACCGGUACACAGAUGGAUUUCGUGUAAACCCGAGGCUUGGGUUUGGCUGUUUCUCAGGUGUUGUACCGGUACACAAGCCCGUGUACCGGUACACAGUACAGAGCGAGCAGUUUUCGAGUAGGGGUGUUUGUGCAAUUGUUACAACACCUAUAAAUGGCACCCCAGCCCCCUUAGAGGACUUUAUUGUGCCAUAACCAGUGGAGAUCAAAGGUGAGUGCCCCUCCCCUUGGUUCUUCUCCAUUUUUGAUGGGUUUUUGCUUGUUUUGAUCUCUCAUCUUUAUGUUUCUUUGCUCCUUGUUGGUUUCCUCCAUGGGAGAAUCUUGGAGCCCGUGAUUGGAGCUUCGUUGAGGGAAGAUCUUGGGAGCUUGUGGACUUUGGGCUUGUUGGAAGCCUUCUAGAGGUUAGUGGCUAAAUUCUUUCCCCUAUAUCCUUAUUUUGAUGCUUUUUAUUGGUAGAAACCCUAGAUUUUGGAUUUUAGGGUUAGAAUUGGGAAUUUUGGAUUUGUAACUUCUAGAACCAAAUUGAUUGGUUUAGAACUUUGAUUUAGGUUGGAUUUGAAGGAUUCUUGUUUCCUUUUGGAGAGCAAGUGAGAUUUUCACAAUUUUCGGUGAGUUUUUAGCCCUUUCCUUGAGUUGCUUAAUGUUUGAACUCAUGAAUUGUCGUUUCGAUGUUGUAACUCCCCUAGCCUAUCUCUUAGGGUGCUAGGAGUGUUUACCGAAGCUUCGUUAGUGUUUCGGACGCCUGCGCGGAGCUUUUGGUGGGUUUGGCUUCAUUGAAAUAUGGGGAAAUGCCUCCUACGUUGUUAAAUGUUUACGUAUAAUAUAAAUGCAUGCAUAUCCAUAUUGAAUAGAAUUUAUAUAAAUUUUAGAAUGCUUAAAACCCCUAUGUUAUGCAUUAUGAAAAAUUGACUCUAUGUUGUAGAGAGAAGCAUAUGCAUUGUACGCAUGCAUGAGUUUAAUAUUCUAAUGAAUGAUGUAAGAUCAUGUUUCUUGUGUGGGAAAUGAUUAGAAUGACAAGCUUUUAGACUUAUUAUUCAUAUUGGGAUAUAGUAAGCAAAAGUGUCAUAAAGGGGCACUUGAACUAAAAAAUUGUUGAACUACAACUUAGAGACAUGAUGAUAGGCUACUGAAAAUCUACUAUAUUCCAUGUUUUAGACAUGACGACAUAGAGAUAGGCCAUUGAGACAGUUACUAUAUUUCGUGUUUUAGACACGAUGACAUAGAGGCAGGCCUUUGGGACAUGUGCUGUAUUCCAGAUUUUAGAUCCGAUGAAACAGUGAUGAACCACUGGGACUUGAGACGGACUUAUUCGCUUGCAUGCCAUUGUGUUCAUUCGCACAUACUUGUGAGGGUCGCUCCCUACAUGUCGGCACUCCGGAGAUAGCCAUCGCGAUAUAUGCUCGCCCGUGCGGGAUUGGGCGCCAAAAUGGGAUGCCGUGGAGGAGGCUCAUUCCUAGAGUGGGGAUGUUGACUACCACGGGGCCAUUGUUUGCACGACGCAGGCCGGACUAGCUACGGGUAGCUUCCACAGGAUUGAGUUAUUGGUGACAUAUUGUACCUUUUGAACAUUGACUAGAAUAGUAAACAUGACAUCUUUACUAUUUACAUUGUGGACAUCAGGUUAGUUGCAUACUUAUGCAUUUAAAUGUUGGAUACUCUUGUGCACUUGUAGUAGUUGCUUUCUUACUUAUGCAAAUUCAUGCUAAGUAGAGAUUAUGUGAUAGAUUAUUACUUAUGCAAAUCCAUGCUAUGUAGGGAUCACGUGGUAGAUUAUUACUGAUGAAAGUAGAGACUUUAUGCUAUACCGAGCUUCCAUCUCAGUGAUUUAUUUGUUCAUAUUAUUCUUACUUGCCUUACUUACCCUACCUGUUUAGUUUUGGGCCUAGUGGUGCAUUUCACUGAAGUCAGUAAUUGCCCACUGGGAACUAUUAUUUAAUAGUUCUUACGCCCUCUAUUUUAUGUUUUCCUUUUAGAGCCCUCUGCACCGGCGUAGGCACGGGACCGCGGCAAGGGGAUCGCUAGCUAGAUAGCGAGGAUUCACUUUUACUCUUAGGUGGUUUCCCCUCUUUUUAUGUUUUGGGAGAGCGAGAGUUUUUGUUUGCCAUGUAUAGAGACCACCUAUGUACUAUUUUAGUAUUUGUGUUUUGGAUCUUCGGUUGUACUACUUUAUGGUUAUUAGUGAUUUUAGCUCUCUACUCUUCACAUUGCUUUAGUCUCUAGAUGAUGUAUAUUGUUUUGAUACUUCUAGAUGCUUUCAUUUAUUGUCUCUUUUAUCGUUUUGUUUUAGACCCCUUAUAUGUUUUAGACGUAUGGCGGGUCUGUGCACGUGCCGGGUGGGCUUCCGCUGAGUCCCGGGGCGUGACAACAUUGGACAUUUAUGUAGUAGAGAGCUAUUCAUAUUUGGAACCUUGCAUAUGGUUAGCAUUCUUAUAUUUGAUUGAGAUCAUGUUGCAUGUAGUGCAUAUGACAUGUAGGUUACACUCUUGGACUUGAAACGCAUGCCUGGCAUGGUUGGACAUAUUGUCAUUAAGUGACAUAGGUUAGAGUAUAUGUAAGUAGUAAGCUAAUGUCAUAAAGCGGCAUUAGGCUCGGACUAGAGAUUGGACUUGGUAAGCUAAUGUCAUAAAGCGGCAUUAGGCUUGGGAUGGUUUUGUGGCAUAGUGAGAUAAUGCCAUAAAGAGGCAUUGGAUAUAGUGAACUUAGUAAACCUUCACUUGAGGCAUAGACUAGACCCUCGGGGUUACUAGUGAGUAUUUCCAUGUUAGAGACAUGAUGACUGUUGAGUUGCUAUUCCAUGUUAGAGACAUGAUGACGAGAUCCGUGAUAUGAUGACUAUGAUUACUUGCCAUUUGUGCUCAUUCGCACAUGCUUGUGAAGGUCGCUCCCUACAAGCCGGCACUCCAGAGUUGGCCUUUUUUCGACGCAGUUCGCACGUGCGGGAUUGAGACGCCUGUAGGGUCGCGUGGGACAGUCUCAUUCCAAAGUGGGAUGACGAGCUACCACGGGCAGCUAGGCGGCGAGGCGCCUGUAGGGUCGGGUGGGACAGUCUCAUUCCUCGAGGGGGGAUGUUGGAGCUACCACCGGCAGCUAGGCGGCACAAGUUGGACUACACAUGUGUUGGUCCUGGAUGAGAUUGAAUGAUGAACCUUAAUCAAUUAAAUGACAAUCACUACUUGAUAGUAUAUCGUAGUUGGAUUUAGCUGACAUUGGGAUUUGUGAUACCCUUAGUUCCCAUGAUAGUACAUACUAGAUAUGUAUUGAAUUUUGGGACAUAUUGUAUACUUGAUAGUAUUACUUGUUACAUCACAGCUUACUUGGUAGCCAUGAUAAAGCAUACUUGUUAUGUAUCGGCAUAUUGGAUUCAUGAUAGAGUAGAUGUACUCCAUGUUCAUAUCAUGUAUACCUGUGGCAUAGUAGUAUAGCAUUUCAUUAUAUGCUUUUAUUUUCGCAGUUGUUAUUUCAUUUUCUAUAUCUGCUCAUGACUUGGGCCUAGUGGUGCAUUUUGCUAAGGUCAGUAAUUGCCCACUGGGAACUAUAAAUUAUAGUUCUCACGCCCCCUGUUUUAUGUUUUCUUUCAGAGCCUUCCACUCCGGGAGAGGCUCGGGAUCGCGGGAAAGGAAUCGCCUCGGGCUAGCUAGCGAGGGAUUAUUGGAUAGGUGGUCCACCUCUCUUUUGUUUCUUUUUGGAGAGGUUGAGAGAUUUGUACCAUUUGUAGAGACCACCCCUUUUUGUACUUUUGAGAUGGAUACUGUAUAACUUUAUGCUUUACUUUUAUUGUUUAGUUAUGUUCUACCUACUAUAGAUUCUAGAUGUAUACUUGCUCUGAUAUCUCUAGAUGUAGUUCAUCUCUUAUCUUAUUCUUCCGCUUUUGUUGUAGACGCCUUAUAUGUGUAGGCAUAUGGCGGGUCUGGGCGCGCUACCGGGAAGGCCUCCGCCGGUCCCGGGGCGUGACAUCUACCCUAUAAUGCAUGCAACAAUAUACAUAUAUGCUCAAAUGAAUGACAUAUUAGGCAUAGAAGGAAUUACAACAAGUUUGGAUAGCACCACCCACCUCGUAGGUGUAUUAGGAUGCUACAAUGAUUUUCUUGGGAUUUUUAAACUUCUAGUUCAUCACCUGCGGCAAAACGAAGCCCUAUUAGGCCAUUUUGCUCAUAUCUUUACAUUGGCUUUUCGUAACGUUAAACUGAGUGCACCAACGCGUCGGAAAUACCCCCAAUUAGAUUUCUAGAGGGUCAAUUUUACUUUAGAAACCUCACAAGGAAAAGCCCCAAAUUUGGGUGCCCUAGCUCAUAGCAUAUCAAAACCUAGGGUUUGAUCUCUUAGAGAAGCAAAAGUAAGCUUCAAAUCAUGUAAAGGUUCCAUUUGAACCAUCCUUAGCUCAAUCAAAACCCAUUUUAGGGUUUUACCAUAAGAGGGGUUGAAGCUUUCCUCUAAGCUUCACCACUAGCACCCAAAUCUAUGGUUUUGAUCUCUAAAAGAAGCAAAAGAUAGUUCCAAAUACUCUGAAGGUUCUAUAAAAACCAUUCUUAGCUUAAUCCAAACCCUAGUUUGGGUUCUACCAUGAUUAGGGUUCAAGCUUACCUCUAAGCUUGCUCCUGUGUUGCUCCAAAGAGGAAGAAGAGGAAGUAGCUCUACUGCUUAGCUUCUUCUUCACCUUCCUUCUCUUUUUCUUCUUCUGCUUUUCUUUUUUCUUUUCCUUCUCUUCUUUGUCUUCUAGAGAGAGAAAGAGAGGAGAGAGUGUGUGUGAGAGGGAGUGAAAAUGAGAGAAAUAUCCCAUUUGCCCCUUAACAUAACCCCAUAUGAAGCAUAAUUGUAUUUGGGUCCCUCAACUUUGAUCUUAUUAAACAGCCCAAACUGGGCCAUUUUCGUGUUCGGGGACCGGUCUCCCCGACUUGGGACUGGUCUCAGAGAGCUCUCCCCACAGCUAGCAGAGCUCCAGCCUGAUGCAACCGGUGUCUCUCUCUCGAGGACCGGUCUCUCGGGGACCGGUCUCUCCUCGCAGGGACCGGUUCCCGAGAGCUGGUUUUCUGGGACUUAGCCGAUUUACAGCCUUUCUCUUUUCUCACGCGUUCGGGGACCGGUCUCUCCCACCAGGGACCGGUCCCCGAGAGCUAAAAAUCUGCAGUUUUGCAGAAUUUGAUUUUUUAGCUCUCGAAAACCUUCCACAACGCACUUUUGAUCGUUUUAACACCUUCGGAAUUUCCGAAGUGUACCAUCCUCGCACUUUGGUCAAUUUGACUAAAGUUUGACAUUUAUUUUUCGAAUUUUCGGUAUAUUACAUUCUCCACCCCUUUAAAUAAUUUCGUCCGCGAAAUUACACAUACCUUAACUCGUCGACUCAAAUAAAUACGGAUACUCUUUCCACAUGGUCUCCUCGAGCUCCCAAGUGGCUUCUCACGCAGCAUGGUUGCUCCAUUGGACUUUCACAUAUGGAAUUCUGCGACUCCGCAGCUUUCUUUCUUCUCUCUCGAGGAUGCACACCGGGUACUCCUCAUAAGACAUAUCCUCACGUAACUCCACGGGCUCGUACUCCAAUACAUGUGUUGAGUUUCGAAUAUACUUUCGGAGAUUUAACACAUGGAAAACAUUGUGAACUCCCGCGAGUCUCGGUGGUAGUGCGAGCUUGUAUGCCACCGCACCCACGCGCUCCAAUAUCUCAAAUGGUCCGACGUAUCGGUGGCUUAGUUUCCCGUGGACCCCAAAACGUUUGACUCCUCGCAUUGGCGAUACUCUAAAAAAUACGCGGUCUCCAACCGCAAACUCUAAGUCCUUUCUUCGCUUGUCAGCAUAACUCUUUUGUCGAGAUUGCGCCUGUCACGCCCCGAGACCGAUACCAAUUUGGGCCGGCCCGAGCACGUCAACAGACGCCGAACAGACAGAGUUUCCCCUAUCCGCCCAAGGCUCAUCACAUGUACAUUUUCCUCAAUAGAAGAAAAGCACUAGCGGAAACAUACACAAACGGCUUACACGAGGGUAAGCAAUAGCCACGAGUGAAAGAAAAAGGAAACUAAACAUUCACUUGUACUAUGAUUCAUUUUUGAUCAUAUACAUUACAUUCACCUUGUUCACUUUCGAAUUCCUUACAUUUCAUUUCAUUAUUUCUUUCUUACAUCACAUUUACCUCAAAAUACACAUUACAUUCUUUUCUUUACAUCACUAAUCAUCAAGUACAAAAGAUGAUAAAAGGGUGUCUAGUAACAAAAUGUAAACCCAACUCUGGUGGCCUCUGACUAAGGCGCGAUAUCUUUGCCUCGGUCGCUCGCCGGCUCGCUCGGUCCCGGCUCUGUGGAAAUAGUGGGGUGAGAACUACAGCAAAGUUUCCAGUGGGUUCGGCCCCAACAUCACCGACUUUCCCACUAGGACUAACUCAGGCAUAAUAGAAAGAAUAAGCUGCAUAUAGUAACCAAUCUAUACAUGAUGCUAAUAUGCCUGAACAAUAAAGCAGAAAUAUGCUCAACAUUAAAUAAAUGCAGAUUAUGCAAAUUCUUUGUUCUUUUCACUUUACUCUUUGUUCUUUGUUCUUUAAUCUUUGCACUUUGUUCUUUGCUCUUUGUUCUUUAAUCUCAAGGCUAACCCGGGGGUAUCGCCACAUUAACUUGCUUCACAUUAAGUCCAUCAUCGCAGGAACUCACCCGCUAGGACCGUCCUUCGGGUUUACUCCAACCCGUGAUGCAUAACUCCGGAGCGCAUCGCCCGAGGGGGAGCGACCGCCCUCGAGCACGGAACUCAUAGCAAGUAUGAUCGAAUCCUUAACUCAAAGGAUUGUAUGUUCAAUCUUGACUUUACACUAACUCUAGUGUUCUUUCAGCACUUUUUGUUGCCACUCUAGCAAUCAUUGUUCUUUACCAUUCAUUACUCUUGCUAUCUCAAGCAAUUAUAUUCUUUACAUUCUUUACUUUUGGCUACCUCUAGCACUUCAUGUUCUUUACUCCCCACAUUACUUUAACUUUAAGCAUUGUCAUUUUCAUCAUUCUUUACAUUACAUUGGUUCUUUACCUCACACUAUCUUUGGUGUCAUUUCACUUUAACUUUAUCAAAUGCCACUCAAUCUAUGUCAUUCUGCCACUCGGUUCUAUUGGCUCACUUUAGUACUCACAUUUUCUCUCAUGCAUACAUAUAGGGUUUUAACAUUCAUAAGGUUCUCAACCAUCACAUUUGGCAAGUUGUACUCACAAUCAUGCAACAUCACAUUUUCAUCAUCACUUUACCCUAAAAUGCAUGCAACAAAUAUGUAACAUAUGCUCAAUUGAAUGACACAUUAGGCAUAGAGAGAAGUUCAACGAGUUUGGAAAGCACCACCCACCUCGUAGGUCUAUUUAGGUGCUCCGAUGAUUUUCUUGAGAUUUAUAGGCUCCUCGUUCUUCACCUGCGGCAAAACGAAGCCAACUUAGGACAUUUUGCCCAUAUCUUUCUAUAGACUUUUCGUAACGUUAAUCCGAGCGCACCAACGCGUCGGAAAUACCCCCAAUUAGGUUUUUAGAGGGUUGCACUUAGAAAUCCCCAUGAGAAAAAGCCCCAAUUUGGUGCCCUAGCUCCAAUACAUAUAUCAAACCUAGGGUUUGAUCUCAUUAGGAAGCAAAACCCUAGAUUAGGUUCUACAAUGAUUAGGGUCCUCAAAUGGUUCCAUAAAACCCAUUUUAAGCUUAAUCCAAACCCUAGAUUAGGUUCUACAAUGAUUAGGGUUCAAAGCUUAUCUUAUGAGCUCUCAUUUUCCAAGCUAGAGAGGAAGAAGAUGAAGUCGUUUCACCUCUUGAUCUUCUUCUUCACCUUCUUUUCCUUCUUUUCCUUCCUUUCUUUCUUUCUUCUUCUUCUCCUUUGCCUUCUAGAGAGAGAGAGGGGGAGAGAAGAGAGUGUGAGAGGGUGAGAAUGAGAGAAAUGUCUCAUUUGUCCCCUUACUAUACUCUAUGGGUUGCAAAAUUGCAGUUAAACCCCUCAACUUUCACUCUUUCACACAGCCUGGACUGGGCUGUUUGCGCAGGCGGGGACCGGUCUCUCCAUCACGGACCGAUUCCCGAAGGCCGUCCCAGCGCAGCCAGAGCUGCUGCGCGCGAUGCAUCCGGUCUCUCCUUGGGGGACCGGUCUCUCGGGGACCGGUCUCUCAGGCAGGGACCGGUUCCCGAGAGCUAAUUUCUCAAGACUUAGCCGAUUUUUCGGCUGUCUCAUUUCAUACGCGUUCGGGGACCGGUCUCUUCCACCAGGGACCGGUCCCCGAGAGCUCAAAACUGCAGAAUGCAGAUUUUGAUCCUUUAGCUCUCGAAAACCUCCCGUAACUCACUUUUAAUCAUUUUAACACCUUCGGACUUUCCGAAGUGUACCGUCCUCGCACUUUGGUCAAUUUGACUAAAGUUCGACAUUUUUUUAUUUUUCGAAUUUUCGGUAUAUUACAGCGCCGCCGCUAACCGUUGACGGGUAAGGCGAACUUUCUCUUCCGCCUCCCGUACAACAUCCGGGCCAAGAGCCGUUCUCUCGCCUACGUCGCUCCAAUGAAUAGGAGAACGACACUUUCGACUAUACAGUGCCUCAAAUGGCACCAUUGCUAUACUCUCCUGAUAACUGUUAUUAUAUGCGAACUCCGCCAUCGGCAAGAAAUCAUGCCAUCCGCCCUUGUAAUCUAGGACACACGCUCGAAGCAAGUCCUCAAGGAUUUGUAUUGUCCGCUCCGACUGUCCAUCACUCUGAGGAUGAAACGCUGUGCCAAAGUCGAGCCUUGUGCCUAGCGCGUCUUGCAAACUCUUCCAAAAGUGGGACGUGAAUCUGGGGUCUCGAUCCGAUACAAUUGAUACCGGAACCUCGUGAAGUCUCACAACCUCGUCGAGAUAAACUUGAGCUAGCUUGUCCCCCGACCACGUAGUAUGUAUCAGCAAGAAGUGUGUCGAUUUUGUCAAUCGAUCCACUAUCACCCAUAUCGCAUCGUGUCCGCCUUGUGAUCGAGGCAGACCGGUAACAAAGUGCAUCGCUAUAUUUUUUCAUUUCCAAACGGGUAUCGAUAGACUUUGUAGCUUUCCCGCUAUAUUUUUCCAUUUCCAAACGGGUAUCGAUAGACUUGUAGCUUUCCCACCGAAAAUCGGCGCUCUGCUUUCACUUGUUGACACGUGAGACAUUGCGCCACAAACUCCCCAAUAUCCUUUUUCAUGCCGGGCCACCAAUAGUGCUCUUUCAAGUCUCAGUACAUCUUAGUGCCGCCCGGGUGUAUACUAUAAGGGAGUCUGGUGUGCUUUUUGCAUAAUCGCCCUUCGCAACUCAUCAUCUUUAGGCACGCACCAACGAUUUCGGAAUCGAAGUGCGUCCUCGGCUCCAAUACCAAAGUCUUCGGCAUUGCCACUUUCAACUUCAUCUCGAACCUUUUGGAGAUAAGGAUCUAAAGUUUGAAGCUCUUUAAUCCUCUCAAACAGGGUCGGUUGCACAAUUAAUGCGGCAAGUGUAGCCGGCACUCCCGGCGCUACCACUUCAAACCCAAGUCGUUGCAUUUCCUUUUGCAAUAACGACUGAGGCAUAAUUGCCGUCGCUAAAUUCUCCGCCGAUUUUCUGCUUAGAGUAUCGGCCACGACAUUGGCUUUCCCGGGGUGGUAUAGUAUAGUGACAUCGUAGUCCUUCAACAACUCUAACCACCGCCGCUGUCGCAUGUUCAACUCUUUCUGGGUGAACAAGUAUUUGAGACUCUUGUGAUCCGUGUAUACUUCACAAUGUUCACCAUACAAGUAAUGCCUCCAUAGCUUUAGCGCGAAGAUCACCCGCGGCUAACUCGAGGUCGUGAAUCGGGUAGUUUCUCUCAUAACUCUUCAAUUGGCGCGAUGCAUAUGCAAUGACUCGCCCAUUUUGCAUUAAUACACACCCGAGACCAACAUACGAGGCAUCACUAUACACUACAAAGGUCUCCCCCGGAGUCGGCAAGGCAAGCACCGGGGUCGACGUCAACCUGCUCUUUAACUCUUCGAAGCUCCGAUCGCAAUCGUCGCUCCAAACAUACUUUACUCCUAUGUGGGUGAGGCGCGUUAGUGGAGUGGUUAUUUUGGCUAACCCCUCCAUGAACCGCCGGUAGUAGCACGCAAGUCGAAGAAAACUGCAGACCUUCGCUACAUUCGUCGGGUGAGGCCAAUCUUUUAUUGCCUCUACUUUCUUCGGGCCUACCGAAACUCCGUCGCCCGAUACCACAUGGCCCAAGAAUGUGACCUCCUUUAGCCAAAAGUUAUACUUCUUUAACUUUGCAUAGAGCUUCUCUUGCUUGAGUAUCUGCAACACAGCUCUCAGAUGCUCUUCGUGCUCCUCUUCAUUCUAUGAGUAAACCAAUACGUCGUCUAUAAACACCACGACGCAUCGAACCGACAACGGCCUGAAGACUCGAUUCAUCAAGUCCAUGAAUGCUGCCGGGGCAUUAGUAAGCCCAAACGGCAUUACCGUGAAUUCAUAAUGGCCAUACCGCGUACGGUACGCCAUUUUGUGCACAUCCUUCGGCCUAAUCUUUAAUUGAUGAUACCCCGAUUGGAGAUCAAUUUUCGAAUACACCUUGGACCCUUGCAACUGAUUGAAUAAAUCGUCAAUCCUCGGCAACGGGUACUUGUUCUUUAUCGUUACUUUGUUCAACUCACGAUAGUCUACGCAGAGUCGAAGUGUGCCAUCCUUUUUCUUCACAAAUAGUACCGGAGCUCCCCACGGCGACACGCUCGGCCUCACGAAGCCUUUAUCGAGCAGGUCUUGUAAUUGGCCUUUUAGUUUUUUUAACUCUACCGGUGCCAUUCUAUACGGAGCCUUCGAAAUUGGCGCCGCCCCGGGAAUCAAGUCAAUGACGAACUUAACUUCCCGGUCCGGUGGCAAUCCCGGUAACUCCGCCGGAAAUACAUCCGGGAAUUCGCAUGCUACUCGAAUAUCCCCCAACUCUGGGUGCUCCUUUCGAGCAUCUACCAUGGUUGCCAAAUAGGCCUUACACCCUCCUUUGAUCAUUUUCUUCGCCCUUACAGACGAUAUGGUCGCCGCGAAGCGCCUACUCUUGCACGCUUGAUACACCAACUCUUCUUGAUUAGGCUCACGAAAAGUGAUCACCUUGCUUUCACAAUCUAUGACCGCAUAGUACUUGGAGAGCUAGUUGGUUCCCAAAAUAACAUCGAAUCCCCACAUUUGAUCCAGCACUAGCAGAUCAAUCGGCAUAAUCCACUCGCCUAUUUGCACUGGACACGCUAAACACUCAUUAUGGACACUGAACGAAUGUUCUAGGGCGUUCACCCACCAAUAGUCCUCGUUGUAUACCAUCCCUAUGCCAUGAGUUUGAGCAAAUGAUGCGCUAAUGAAUGAAUAAGAUGCGCCUGUAUCAAAUACUACUCUAGCUCUAGUGCCUUUAAUCACAAUUAUACCUGCCAUGACGUCGUCGGGUGCUGCAGGUUGCUGCUCCUCCACCUGAGCGGCAAAAACCCGGCCGCUAGGUGCUCUCGAUCCCUCCGACUGACGCGGUAAUGACGCGCGCCCAGCCGACAUCACUGGUGGCAACCACGCAAGCUGUCUCGGGGUAGACGGCGGUGAUGCCGCCACCGGUGCAUACGAUGUCCACGUCGGGCACUCCCGAAUAAGAUGUCCCGGUUAGCCACACUUAAAACACUUGCGGUCUCGCUGCGGGCAAGUCGAUACUCGGUGCUCUCCGCCACAAAUGACGCACCGAGGAGGUCUCCAGUUCCUCGACUGCUGUCAAGAAUACCGAGGGGGUUUCUUAGCAUUCGGCCGGCCGACGGCACCGCCCGCCGUUCGCUUCUUGCCUUUGUCCCUGCUCUCGGCCAUAGCCUCCCGUUCCUCUCGAACGUGAGCGCUGCCAUGCUCCACCCACAAAGCUCUAUCGAAGACUUCCGCAAAGGUCGUCAGCUUUAGAAUCUGCACCUUCUCAUAAAUCCUCGGCUGGAGUCCUCGUAAGAACCAAUCAGCCCAGUCCCGAUCAUCUCGAACAACAUCGGGAACGCAGUCAAUAAUGUGGGAGAAUUUCUGCUCAUACUCCCCCACCAAUCGAUCACCCUGUCGCAACUUGCGAAACUUUUCUUACAACCUCCGCUUCACCGUGUCGGGGAAGUAGUUCGUGAAUACCGCUCUCUUGAACUCCUCCCAUAGCAUGAGCGGAACAUCGGUAGGUCGAUCCCGCUUGACUCGCUUCCACCACACCAUCGCCGCCCUCUCAAGAUAAUAAGUGGCGAGGUACACUUUGUCCUUCUCCGAGGUAUUGAGAUCCUCGAAGAGUGUCUGCAUCGAGUGAAUCCACGACUCCACGACCGCAGGCUCCACCAAACUGCCUUCGAAGGUAGGUGGGUCGAACUUCUUGAACUGAAUAAGAGCCGGCAACGUGCGCUCUCGCUCCGCCUCUACCGCCGCGCUAUCGGGAUUUGAGGUUCCCAAUCCGGCCGGUACCGCCAUAACCGGCACAGCCGCAACCGGCUCCGCUGCUAAACCCUCAACCGCAACAGGGGGUGCCGCUGCUAAACCCUCAACCGCAACAGGGGGUGCAGGAGAUCCGGCACCCGUCUGCGUCGCCGCCGCCUGUUACUGCUCCAAAGCCUCCUGGAGCUACUGAAUCUGCUCUCCUUGACGUUGAACAGACUCCGCUUGUUGCCGCACCAUGCCGAUAAGCGCGUCCAUCUGCUCCCUAAGCUCUCUGUCGCCACUCGCUCCGGAUCGCUCGGGCGCCGCAUUCGACUCCUCAGGCAUCGACCUUGUCUGCGGUCGACCACGAGGUGCCAUUGCUUCCUGAAAAGAAGCAACUCGCAUUAGCUACAUGACCAACAUUACUCAUCACUACCCAAUUCGGCGAAAGCAACUUAUACAUUCGUUCUCGCCCCAAGCAUCAUGUCGUCGGCCGCCCGACACAACACUAAAGUAGAGGACAAAUGAAAAUUAAACUUAGCCUCUAAUCACAUUAGAGACAUCCCAACUUAACCCAAUCACAUGCUUUCGCUAACUUUGAUUCCGCGUCACUCACGUUUCCUAGAUCCUUAAGGUCUUCCAAUUCUAAGGGUCUCUAGGUCCAUUCCUAUUCUUUCACUCUAGGCUCUGAUACCACAAUAUCUGUCACACCCCGGGACCGAUACCAAUUUGGGCCGGCUCGAGCACGUCAAACAGACGCCGAACGGACAGAGUUUCCCCUGCCUGCCCAAGGCUCAUCACAUGUACAUUUUCAACGAGAAGUGCACUAGCAGAAACAUACACAAACGCCUUACACGAGGGUAAGCAAUAGCCAUGAGUGAAAGAAAGGAAACUAAACAUCUACCCAAGUAUUAUGAUUCAACUUUUGAUCACAUACAUUGCAUUAACUUUCAUAUUCAUGAUUCUUUAUAUUGCUUGCAUCAUUUCUUUUACAUCACAUUUGCUCAAAAUAAACAUUACAUUCUUUGCUUUACAUCACUAGUCAUCAAGUACAAAAGAUGAUCAUAGGUAAACUACUAACAAAAUGUAAGAUGAACUCGACCCGGGUGGCCACUAUCUAGGGUNGGGAGCGAGUAAUCGGCAUCGUCACUACAAAACAUAAAAGCGCAAGUUAGUAACCCACGCUAUCGCAUCCCCGCUCAAAUAGAUAAAACCCCAAAUCAUGCGAAAGUAAGGAAGUGUCCUUCACUACUAACUUCCGAUGUUACGUUGUCGGCCGCCAACGUAACCCUCCGCGAAGUUAGAAGCCAUACACUUCGAUCAAACUCUAACUUUUAGAGUUGUCAUAAACCCAAUCAUAAUACUUUCGCUCACAAGUCAAUUAGACCUCGUCUCUCACGAGCCUAAUUCCUAUAGUCCAACCGGCCGGUCUAAGGUUCGCUAGGUCCACUAAGACUCAACCCUAGGCUCUGAUACCAAAUUAAUCUGUCACGCCCCGGGACCGGCGGAUGCCCUCCCGGUAGCGUGCCCAGACCCGCCAUAUGUCUACACAUAUAAGGCGUCUACAAUAAAAGCGGAAGUAAAAGCAAGUAAUAGAACAAAUAGAAGAAGUGAAAUAACUAGCAGCUAAUGAUAUCAGAGCGAGUAAAAUUCUAACAUCUACACCAAGGUAAAGAAGUAAAGCUAGACAAUAAAAGAAUUCAUAAGUAGUACAAUAUCUGUCUCAAAAGUACAAAAGUGGUGGUCUCUAGUACACUGGUAAAACUCUCAACCUCUCGCAACAAAAAAUAUAAAUCGAGAGGUAGACCACCUAGCAACUCGUCCUCGAAGGAAGCUAGCUCGAAGCAACUCCCUUCCCGCGAUCUCUGGCCUCACCCUGCGUGGAAAGCUCUGAAAAAAAAACAUCGAAAAAAAGAGGGCGUGAGAACUAUAAUUUAUAGUUUCUAGUGGGCAAUUACUGACCUCAGCUCAAUGCACCACUAGGCCCCAAAAGAAAAGCGUAAGUACCAUAAUAAUAGCAAUAAUAACUGCGAUAUGAAAGCAUAAGUAAAAUGCUAAAUUAUUAAACUCAAGUAUACACGAUGUCAUGGUGAUGUACAUUUACGAUAUCAAAAUAGUAUGUCAUUAACCUUUAUGAAUACAUUAUGCAUAAGUUUUGUCAUGGCAACCAAGUAUGCUUUAAUGCAAAAGGAGACUAUCAAGUAUACUACAUGUCUCAACUGUAAUACACUGGGUCUUAGCAAAUUGCAAGAUUCGAGUGUUUGAUCUGUGUUUGGAGCAUUCCCACAGUUUUUGGAGGGUCGUUGAUAGUGUUCCGACCCCUGACAUGCAUCCCGAGGAUGUUGGAGUGGGACUUGGCACCAAAAUUCCAAAAUCGGAAUUUUUGGACAGCUCUCGGGCAGCCUGCAGCAGGGCUUGUACCGGAACAAGACUGGCCUUGUACCGGUACAAGGGUUGAUGGUUGUACCGGUACAGCCAUCGGGCUUGUACCGGUACAGAGCCGCAGACCCCGCGACCCGAGCCUCGGGUUUGCAUUUUCGUCGGCCUUGUACCGGUACAAGAGCCCGUGUACCGGUACAAGGAGGCAGAUUUCGUGCAGAAUGAAACUGCAGGGGGUUUUGUGCGUUUGUAGCCUUC